rnacentral:lncRNA from 1 species
AACAAUGCUUCCUUCCAGCACCCCACAGCGAUACCGACACCACUACUAGAAGCGCACUACUACCACACCGGCCUCAUCAAUGCCACGACACAAGAGCUUCCGAAGGGGCCACCGAAAUUGUUCAACUUCACCGAUGAAGCCUUAAUCCCUUUUGGACCCAAAGAGAUGCAGCUAGAGCCAACUUACAAGGCGACGUUGGUCCGGAGGUUCCGACACGGUGCUGUGGUGGAAAUAGUCUUUCAGAGCACAGCGAUCCUACAGGGAGACUCCAAUCCAAUGCACCUACAUGGGCAUGACAUGAUUGUGCUUGCACAAGGCCUUGGCAACUAUGAUCCAGCGAAGGCCGUGGCCACGUACAACCUGGUUAAUCCACUAAUAAAGAACACUGUGCUUGUCCCAAAUCUUGGGUGGAUCGCCAUCCGAUUUGUCGCCAAUAAUCCAGGUGUGUAUAAGAUUUGAAUGCUAGUUUCAUGUUGGAAAAUAUUAUGUGGAAACCCCUAUCUUGGUUUAAUCGUGGAAAGCCCUAGUGAACCUCCCUUGAAUAUAUUUUUGUAUAGGUCGUCGAUUGUUGGAAAUAGUCUUGUGAACUUGUUUAUUUGAAGUUUAGAGAAAAUCUUGCUAAAUGGUAGAAGAUUGGACUUCACUAGCAGCAUAACAUUAUGUUUGUUCCAUUUAUUAUUUUAGACCAUGAAAGUCCUCAAGACGUUCAAGUUUGCUGUUGUUAAUUAUGCGUUAUAAGGCCUAAACUGUUGUAGGAAAGGAAAAUUCUGGAACAAAAGAUGUAAGCAUAUUUCAUUUAUUUAACCUUCCAGUCAAUACAUAUUUCUAGAGCUACAAAAACAAGUCUUAUGAUAAAAUAGCGCAAAAUUUUAUCAAUAAGAAAUCAUUCAUCUUCUAAAUUUUACUUCCUUCUAUCCCAAAUAUAAGCCUAUCAAGACUCGUGUUCUUCAAUUCAGGUUUGUAUUCCAAUGACCAUAUUGAAUAAUACUCAAUUAACAAAAUUAUUACGGUGCUUUGUUCAUUUAAGCUAAAAAAUUGAUAACUUUAGAAAGGGGUCGGAUAAAAUAGGAAAGUGGAAUCAAAAUUAUGUCUCAAAGUUGUUUGACUACUAUUUGGUGCAUUGUGAGAAUGACCACUUACAUUUAUACUUGGUAUCUGAAGGAGUCAAUUUUUAAGCAUUCCACGAGACUUCAAUAUAAUUAUCCAGAGUUGUAUUCCUGGGAAAUUAUUCAAUAAAAUUUAUUAUAGUGUUUUUCCGAUUCGCACCCAUAUUUGUUUGUCUAAGUUGCCUGCCAAAGCACCUCUUGGCGUCAAAAACUAACUUAUUGUCUUUUAUGUUGUACAGGGGCAUGGUUCAUGCAUUGCCACUAUGAGUUUCAUCUAUCAAUGGGCAUGGCAGCAGUGUUUAUUGUAGAGGAUGGACCAACAAAUGACACGUCUCUCCCUCGACUGCCAGUGAAUUUUCCGACUAUUGGUCAAGACAUCAAUCUCAUGCCCAAUGACUUAUAUCUCAAAACUAUGAAAAGUUAAAACUAGUGCACAAAGGGAGUACCUGUGUAUGUAUGAAGACAACUCCUAUUACUUAUUUUGAAUAAAUGGUUAUGAAUAAUGAAUGUGCGUAAUGAGAUAAAUGUACAUAUAUUAUUAAUGUCAAACUUUGUUGAACUGAUAAAAUGUCAUGCACCUAACAAUUUGGAUUGAAAAGAUGUCGAACUAGUCAUGGUUGCAUCGCCACCCGCACAAUACCCUAUCCAUGUCGGCCAAUCAGUACCGGCCGAAAACCAGAAGGGCCAUCUACAUUGGCUGAGCAACCAACCCGCAGAGGGCUUGAAAACAAUGACCAGCUUCACUGCACAAUAUUUGUACUAGCAUGAAGAAGCCUGGCACCGAUAAUAUCCGUGUCAUCCAUGCUGAGAUUCCAUUAAUAUUAGCAUUGGAACAGACAUAUAUCAUCUCUCAAGAAGACCCUGAUAUGUAAAAGCAUGUUGUUGGCGCUACAAUUUUACUGACCACAUGCCAAGCAUAUGCAAUUACUUGGAUUCAAAGUUGAAGCAUAGUUAUAUUUUUUUCACACGAUGUCGAGAAGGAGAAGACCGCAGGCACAAUUCAGUGAAUCAUGGUCAAGUACUGUCGAGGAGGAGGAGAAGACCGCAGACACUCAUUUUCUGAAGGAGUCACGUUUUGCAGGCAAUGCAGCAACUUAUUCGGAAGUUCAACACACUGAAUAGUAUUGUCUUCCUUGCAAACUCUUCCACAAGCUGGAGUGCUAACUUGCAUUCCAGGAGUGGGAGAACUUUCUAGAAAGACUGACAUUUUUUUCAGCAUGUCUGUUUCGGGAACCAUGCCCCCUAAGCCCUUUCAUGCAUACUUCUCCAAUAAGAGAAUCACUCCAAGAUGAAGGAACAUCUUGCUCGGCGUCCUCGGAAUUUUGGUGCAAAAAUAUUUGUAAUAUCUUCUGGUCAUGAGCUUCUCGUCAUUCACGAUCAUCAAAAUAUUACCGUGGUCUGUAGGCUGUAAUGCUCCACGAUUGGUUCCCCGAAAGCUAUGAGUAGAGAUGGGUAGAAUACGGAAAUUCAUGACGCCAUGCACGAUCCAUAGUCCCAGGCCUUCCAAGCACUAAUGAGCAAACACUGAUUUAGAUCUAGUGGAAUGACAUCACGAAUCAUAACAUCACCGUGUCCACAUAAUGAAAACUUCACCUUCACCUUGUGUACGUAUAAACCACGGUUAUUUAACCAUGAAAUAUGUGGCCUCGUAUGAUGCAUCCGCGACAGUCCCAAAACAUUCACAAGACAUUCACUUGCAGCAUUGAUGACAGAGAAUUGAUCCACAAUCGUAGCACUUGUACCCGCAACAACUUCACAGCGAGUGUAGCACAUGGAAAGAUCAGGAUCCACGGUUGGAUCCUGCUCAUAAUUUUGCAAUGCAGUGCCCAGAAUCAUGGUAGCAAUCAUAAAAAAAAUCUCAAGUAGUACAGUUAACAGCAGAUAUACCGUGAUCAACUUAGCAAAACUGAUACGACCUGAUAAGGACAUGCUUGCUGUGCACAGGAUCUGUCCCACUCUUUGACGGUACUAAUCACUUACAGAAUUUAGUCUCAAUAGUAUGGCUGUCCAAUAUAUGCUCCCUUUCUAAAUUCAGUUGUCGUGAUUAUUUGCAGACUAGGAAUGGUGAUAGACUAAUCUGAAAAUACUAGCAAAACAGAUACUGCACAAGAUAUAUAGCUUCGUGUACAGAGCCAAUUAACUGGAAUAUGAACAACAACAUUCAUAGCUAUCUUCUUUUAAAUCAGGCAACAGCUGGACACUCUUACAGCCACAAGAUGGAAAUCUCCACAGACACGGCUACCAGAUUGAUUUCCACUUACAGCCACAAGAUCAAGACAAUAAUCUCCUCACGAAACAGGGUUGAAAUAAUAGCCGUAUAACUCAGCAGGAAAACACUAUUCUGUUUGAUUAAACACCAACACACAAGCAAUAGUACUAAUGAAAAAUGGGAUUGGUUUAUAGUAGAUGCAAUCCAAAAACCCUAUGUCAAACCGUAGAAGCUAAUUAAACGAUAGAUUAACACACAACCAGGUAAUAGUAAUAAAUAUUCAGGCCCGAUCGCUAAUGAUUCUACUAAAACUUAAUCAACAUAACUACCAAUCUGAACAUACGUGCAUGCAUGCCAUUAAGUAUUUUUUUUUGUGUGUCUUUUCUUGUGGUCAGGCAUCUGAGUAUUAUUGCUGGCACAUCAUAAAGCUUGUCCUGGGCUGCUGGUAGAUAUGCACCAGGUGUCCACGGUUUUGUGGUUGCUCAGCUCAUAAGCAAUUGAUGCCUGACAGUGACUGUCGUUGUGUGAGCUGUAUUACCUCAGGUCGCUUCUGACAAAUAAGGUUGCGUCGUAAAAGCAGCUAGCUCUUUUAGUCCGGUUGCAAAAAAAAUGAAAAAAAACAAACGAUGCCAGUUGGCACUCAACAAUUGAGCUAGCAAUAAUAGUGUGGUACGUUUGUCUGUAAUAAGAUGUAUGGUGCCUGACAUUGAAUAUAAAAUCCCCAUGAUCACCUACCGGGACAUGCAAUUUAUCUGGCCGGAAUGGGCAAUAAAAUCCCUUCGAUCCGACAGAUAGAUUUGCUUGUGUUACAUUCCUAGUAUUCCUAAUAUUUUUAUUUUCUGCUCAUGUCUACUGAUAAUUUUGCUACAUAUGGUGCCAUUCUAAGUGUCCUUUUGUGGUUAGCAAUCUGUUCCACUGUGCUAUAUAGCUUGUCUGCUAGCCACAUCAUAGCGCGUGAACCACAGUGGGCGCUCAGACAUCGUGCAUUAAGUCUGAGGUGAUCUGCGUUCCUCCUCAGCUCAUCAUAAGCUAAAUGAAGCCUUACAGUGACUGACAUGGGCCAAUGGCAAUCCUGCAAACACAAAAUCACAUUUUGAAUCAUUUUGGAAAAAAAAAGAGCGUCCAAUUUCGACUUCAUAUGCAAAAAUUGAGCCUGUUUUAUUGCAGACGGCCGAGUACAAGUCAGUUAUUUGAUUUUCUGCUCAUGUACUCUGCUUUUGUUCCUAUUUCUUUCAACUGUUAAACAUCCAUCGGUCAUGAUUUGUUAAGUACCUUUAUUAUACUGAAGAAUUUAAUUAAAUGGCCAUUGACAAUGACACAUUUGUUGGUUCCUGUAAAAACAACUAGGCCCCCCACCAUGAUACAUUAAUAAAAAACUGACAUGUUGAUUAGAAAUACUAACAUAUAUUGUGCCUUUCCCCAUCUCAACCUUGUCUGGUUUCCUCGUUGAGGCCCCAAACCAAGCUCUUGUUCAUCGAUAUCUAGCUAUAGAAGAAAGCUCUGGAACUAGUUAGGCUCUCUCUUAGUCUAGAAGUGUCAUAGGAAUCUAGUCUCGCUCGUUGUCGUCCCAGCUACCGACCGCUAUAAGGUUAGAGUAUCCUUAUGUCACCAUGGUCAUUGCUCUGUCAUCUUAACCUGUUGAUAUACUAAGUAACUUUUUAUCAUUCAAUUCUUCGAUGCGCUUUAACCAUUGUGCUUCCUCGUGGAAAUUAUACGAUACCUCAGAAUACUACCUGGUGAAAUUCUACAUCGGUAAUUCUUUUAGCAGAAUAAACAUUUAUUUUGAGGCAUAAGAAACACUAACAACAUCGCUAUCACCAGGCGCGUCCUGCUCUAGCUUGGUGCCUGACGCCUGGAAUGUGAAGCAAGACAGGGUGGUAGCAGCGGAUGUGGUCAAGCUCUGACUGGUGAAGGAUGAGGCAAUUGGUUCUGAGUACCCUUUUGCUCUUCUUCCGAGUUCCAAGAAUGUUGAGGAGCUUCAUGACCACAGGUGGGAGGAGAAGGUGCUCUUCGACUGGGAUGUCCUAGGACAGUGUUGGUUGUGCUGUAAUGAAAAAAUAUGUUGUUUAUAUUUUGUGUAAUAAAUAUACAAAUAUUUAUAUUGUGAUCCUUGCAAACACUUCCAUGAGAUCGAGUGCUAACUUGCAUUCUGAGGGUAGGAGAACUUUCUAGAAAAGCCGACCUUUUUUCAGUAUGUUUGCUUCGGGUACCAUGCCCUCUAAGCCCUUACAUGCAUUCUUCUCCGGUAAUAGAAUCACUCCAAGAUGAAAGCACAUCUUGCUUGGUGUCCUAAAAAUUUUGACCAAAGAUAUUUGUCAUCUUCGGGUCACCUACCAUUGAUGUAAUCUUCUAUUUCUUGACAUGAGCUUCUCUUCGUCGGCGAUCAUGUGGUGUGCAGGCUGUAAUGCGGAAACAUUAGUCCCCCAAAAUAUAUGAGUAGCGGUGGGCAGAAUACGGAAGCUACAUCAUGAUGCCAUGCACGAUCCAUAGUCAAGGGCCUUCCAAGGAACAAUGUGCAAACACUGGUUUCAAGUGGAAUGACAUCACAAAUCACAACAGCACAACUCCACACGGUAAAAACUGAAACUUCACGUCAUGUUUAAUCUUAAUACCUUGGUUAUUUCACUAUAAAGUAUAUGGCCUAUGAUUCAUCCGUGAUGGUCCCAAAACUUUCACAAGACAUUCAUUUGCUGCAUUGAUGGUAGAAAAUGGAUGCACAAUCGUAGCACAUGUACCCGCACCAACUUGAUAGCGAGUGUAGAACAUAGAAAGAUUAUGAUCCAAGGUUGCAACCUGUUCAUAAUUUUGCAAUGCAUGCCAAUAAACCUCAUUGUAGCUAUCACCAAAUAAAAAAAUCAGAAACAAUACAAUUACUGCCAUAUGUACCUUGAUCAACCUAUCAAAACUGAUUCGACCUAAUAAGGACAUCCUUAAAUCACCACGUGUCCACGGUUUUCUGGUUGCUCAGCUCAUAAGCAAUUGAUCAUGCUUGAUCAUUGUUGGGCCAUUGCAUGUCCAUUGGCAAUGUUGACAGAAAUAAUUGAGCUACCAAUAAUAGUGUUGCACGUGUCUGUAACGGGAUGUACGGCGCCUGACAAUAAUAGGGCACCGGAACCUGCAAUAUGUCUGGCCGGAAUAUGCAAUAAAAUCCUUUCGAUCUGACAGACAUAUUUGUGUUACAUUUCUAGUAUUCAUAGUAUUUUUAUUUUCUGCUCAUGUCUACUGAUAAUUUUGCUAUGUAUGGUGCCGUUCUAAGUGUCCUUUUGUGGUCAGCAACUUGAGCCCCUGCUGGCUACAUCAUAGCUUGUCUGCUGGCCCGGUGCGCGUGAACCACGAGGGAAGGACCACAGUGGGCGCUCAGACAAUGUGAGGGUGGGUGGAUACCCUCCUAAACUUCACCUAUCACAUCGGAUAUUUGGAUACUAAUUAGGAGUAUUAAACAUAGUUUAAUUACAAAACUAAUUGCACAGAUGGAGUCUAAUUCACAAGACGAAUCUAUUAAGCCUAAUUAGUCAAUGAUUUGACAAUGUGGUGCUACAGUAAUCAUUUUCUAAUGAUGGAUUAAUUAGCCUUAACAGAUUCGUCUCGCGAAUUAGACUCCAUCUGUGCCAUUAGUUUUAUAAUUAGCUCAUGUUUAGUCCUUAUAAUUAGCAUCCGAACAUCCGAUGUGACCCUGCUAAAGUUUAGCACCUCGUAUCCAAACACCCCCCAAGUCUGAGCUAAGCUCCCUUCUUCCUCAUCUCAUAAGCGGUUGAUGCAUGCCUUACAGUGACUGACAUGGUCCAAUGGCACCAAUCCUGCUAACACAAAAUAAGAUUUUCAAUCAUUUUUGGGAAAAAAGAGGGUCCAAUUUUGACUCCCUAUGCAAAAGUUGCGCCUGUUUUAUCGAACACUAUGCAAGUUAUAUUAUAUUAGGUUUUUUUCGGUGCAUGUUUCAAUUGACAACUAAAGAUGAUCCACAACCAAGGACUCCACUAGACAUGCAAAACGGAAGUGGAAUUUUGUAGUUGACACCUUUUUUAUUAAAUUGAAGUCGUUUGUAUAUGUAAAUUAUCACAAAAUGUUCUGGACGGUAAUGGUUAAAAGGAAGCCAAGCAUGGGUGGAGUGGCCUGGCUAGAGGGCAUCACGCAUAGGUUUGAGGUUGCAAAAACGGUUGAGGCAAGGGGUUGCAAACGAACCGACUGUACAGUCGGAUCACAAAACGUUAGUACAAAUUGUACAGAUGCUUGCUUAAAGUCGGUUCACAAACCUUCAGUAUAAAUAGUUCUGUAAUUGUGAUUUGUAGUUGUAAUAUAUCACAGGCCGAAACAUGCAGAUACAGGCAUCCCAGGACAUGCAACGAAAAGGAAAAAACAAGUGAUCAUUUUAUUGGUGUUUUAAACCGUCAUGUAACUCGUGUUUACUUUUGUUACAAGAAAUAGAAAUGCACAAAGACCUUUCUAUAAUACUAUUACUUUGCUACGUGGAAUUGGAACUUUGUAUCUGUGUCGUGGUUAGCGUCACGGUGUGGCAGAGGUAUCUCUGGAGCUGCCGAGCUAGUGCUGGUUAUCUGUGUCGUUGUGGCCUUGUGGCCUCGUGGCAUGGUAGGUGCUCAGCAAUUAAUCGCACGUAUUGAAAACGUGUCUGUGGUCCUAUUCUCCUGGAGGCACUCAGUCACCGGAUACUUAUAUUGCUCAGCUCACCAAGCUCAUAUAAUGUCGUACCUAGUAGCGCGAGCACAGCAACGCACGCAGCCAUGGCGAGCAUGGAGAGCCGAAGCCUCCCCAGGGCAGCAGCCACCUCCAUGGCUCUAGCUAUCGCCAUUGUCUUCCUGAUCUACACAACCGAACGACUGGGAGAUGCGGCAUCCGUUGAGCACACGUUCAUGGUAAGUACGCCUGAUCCUGUUUCAUUCCCUUUGAUCGACUUGUCAGGCGUUAAUCGGCUAUGGUGCAACGAUAUUUACAUUGUAUUAUAGGGUGUUUUUUAAGACAAGCAUAUACAUCGAUAAACGGUUCUAGAAAAUUAUUUUCUAAAUUAAGAUAUGCGUAAUCAACAAAGGCGUACAUUAGUGGUCACUGGUAGAAAACUCGUCUUUAGUCCUGGUUGGUAGGGAGCAAAUCUCCCGAAAAUUCAUUCGGGAUAAACCAAUUGAGACAUAAGGGGGUGUUUUGUCCCGGGUCACUCAACCGGGACUAAAGACCCCCUGGGAUUCGAACUCGCGACCUCAAGCCUCGUGCGUAGCUUCCUUGCCAUCCCACCUACACAACACAUCUAACUAUAUAGGGGAUGUAAUCCUUUUGUAUUAACUCGUGGGGACCCUUCUAUCCCAGUUGGAAACACCAACCGAGACUAAAGACCCCUUUUAUCCCGGUUGGUAUUACAAACCAGGAUAAAAGGGUUCGAGGGAUUUAGUCUGUUUUUUACCCAUCCGUGGGGAUCCUUUUAUCCCAGUUGGAAACACCAAUCGGGAUAAAAGAUCCCCCUUUUAUCCCGGUUGGUAACACCAACCGGGAUAACACCAACCGGGAUAAAAGGGGGGUCUUUUAUCCCAGUUGGUGUUUCAAACCGGGAUAAAAGGCCUCUUAGGGCCUUUUUUUUCCACUAGCCUUUGCAACUGGGACAAAAGGUCCCGGUUGGUGAGCCCCCGCCAGUGACCGAGCUUUAGUCUCGGUUCGUGAACCUUUUGUCCCGAGCCAACUUUAAACCGGGAUAAAAGGGGUGCAUGGAAGAUGAGUUCUCUACUAGUGGGUUCCCUAUGAAUUCUUAACAAUUCAACCACGAUGUAGCUAGGUAUAUGUGUAUCCAUGCUUGAUGUGAGUCCCCUGCCAGUGAUCGAGCUUUAGUCUCGGUUCGUGAACCUUUUGUCCUGUGCCAACUUUAAACUGGGAUAAAAGGAGGUGCAUGGAAGGUGAGUUCUCUACUAGUGGGUUCCCUAAGAAUUCUUAACAAUUCAACCACGAUGUAGCUAGGUAUAUAUGUAUCCAUGCUUGAUUUCUUGGGACAUGCACAUAUAUAUGUAGGUGAGCCAGGUGAAGAUGACACACUUGUGCAAGGAGACACUGGUCACCGUGGUGAAUGGGCAGCUCCCAGGGCCAGCGAUAUAUGUCACGGAGGGAGACUCGGUGACAGUUCAUGUCGUCAACAAAUCACCCCACAACAUAACAAUCCACUGGUAAUCAGCUGAGUACCGACUCAAUACACUUCAACCUGUUGAUGGACAUUCAAGCAACAAUGAUAAUAAAGAUAGAAAUGAAAUAAUAUAAUAAUAUGCUUUCCAGCAAUUUAUCAACAUUUUUCUUCUGUGCUAUCUGAUGUAGGCAUGGAGUGAAGCAGUGGCUUAACUGUUGGGCUGACGGGGUGCCGAUGAUUACCCAACUCCCUAUCCAGCCAAACCAAAAUUUCACCUACCGGUUCAACGUCAUCGGGCAGGAAGGCACCCUGUGGUGGCAUGCUCACGUCCCCUUCCUCCGGGCAUCACUGCAUGGCGCCCUCAUCAUCCGGCCAAGAAAUGGGGCGAGCUCAUAUCCAUUUCCAAAGCCAGACAGGGAGGUCCCGAUCAUAAUAGGUUCGUGAAUUAUUUGCAUCAUAUUCUCCAGCUGUGUUAGGAGAACAGAAAGAAAUUGUACCUCAUUAUUUAUUGCUGUUUGGAAAAUAGAAGAAUGGACUGUUCCUAUUUGAAUUGAACUGUCUUCGACUUCGGCAGGGGACUAUUGGCAGCUAGACCUUGCACAGGCAGCAAGGAGGAUGAUGCAUGGUUUCUUGUUUUCCUUCGCCAAUGCUUCCACAAUCAAUGGCAAGCUUGGAGAUCUCUUCAAUUGCUCCGGUAAGCAAUUACAGCAUUGAUGUCUGUGUCAACGACAUAUUCCAUUUUUUCUGAAAAAAGUGUCUGCUUCAACUCAACUCUGAAGGUGUGCCGGAAGAUAGCUACGUAUUGGACGUUGUGCCUGGCAAGACCUACCUGCUACGAAUAAUUAACGCCGGGCUAUUCUCCGAGUUCUACCUAAAGAUUGCUGGGCACAAAUUCACUGUGGUUGGUGCCGAUGCCAACUACAUCAGCCCAUACACCACGGAUGUGAUCGCCAUCGCGCCCGGCGAGACAGUGGAUGCCUUGGUUGUUGCUGAUGCGCUCCCUGGAAGGUACUACAUGGUUGCCCUGCCCAAUCAGGCGCCAUUGCCGGACACCCAGACCCCGGAAUACACAACCAGAGGGAUCAUGCAGUACAGCAACACUUACAGCUCUGCCGAUGAUCCAGCAGGACUAAUGUCAGAUCGUGGUGUGGAAGAAAAAGAAGAAGAAGAUAAAGGUUCAUCCGGUGAUGUGCCAGUAGCACCUGAGAUGCCUGAUAUACAUGACACAAUUACAUCUUACUACUUCCACAGCAACCUCACCAACCUGUACCAAACGGUGGUCCCUCAGCGAGUUGAUGAACGUUUGUUCAUCGUGCUCAGCCUGGGUUCAAUAUGUCAGCAUGGCCAGUCCUGCAGGAGGGGUGAUCACAAUGAGACCAUCCUCAUCGCAACCAUGAACAACGUUUCCUUCCAGGAUCCCACGGGGAAGACGCCACUACUAGAAGCACACUACUACCACACUGGAAGCGUGGACUUGAUGCAAGAACUUCCCGACAGACCACCUAGGGCAUUCAACUUCACUGACGAAGCCUUAAUCCCGUAUGGGCCCAAGGAGAUGCGCCUAGAGCCAUCGUAUAAGGCCACGAUGGUGCGGAGGUUCCGGCAUGGUGCCGUAGUGGAGAUGGUGUUCCAGAGCACAGCAGUUCUACAGGGCGAUUCCAACCCGAUGCAUCUACAUGGUCACAACAUGAUCCUUCUUGCACAGGGGUUUGGUAACUUCGACGCCGCGAAAGAUGUUGCAAAAUACAACUUGGUGAAUCCACCGGUGAAGAACACCAUUCUUGUCCCAAAUCUUGGGUGGGCUGCCAUCCGAUUUGUUGCGAACAAUCCAGGUGUGUGUAAGAUUUAUUUGUGUUAGUCGGGUUUCAAAGUCGACGCUGUCAGAUCUAAUGCUUGUCUUAUAUGAUUUACAGGAGUAUGGUUCAUGCAUUGUCACUAUGAAUUCCAUUUGACUAUGGGCAUGGCGGCAGUAUUCAUUGUAGAGGAUGGUCCGACAGUGAACACAUCUCUCCCUCCACCACCUGCUCAUUUUCCAACAUAUUGUGGUCAUGACAACAAUCUCCUUCCAGAUGAACUGUGCCUCCAAACUAAGAAGGAUGCAUGAAAUCCCACGCAUAAAUGUAGUCUGAAAUACUACUGCAACUGCUAUUUUCCAAAUUAACUAGUGGGGAAUUAUACGACAAUCAAUAUGCAUGUUCAUACUACUAUAUCGUCUUGACUCUAUCAAUAAUGUGAGGCCAAUUAUACGACAAUCCCCUUUUAUAUCCAUGUAUGCAUAGCUUUCUUUUUUUUAUAUUCGAUUUUACAUCCUGGUGAAUUGCAAUUUUUAUCUAUAAUUGCAUGUACUCUCUCCGUCCUAAAUUGCAGAUCGUUUUAGCAUUUCUAGCUAGAUUCAUAUCUUUUAUUAAUAGCUUUUAUAAAUACAUGUACUUACAAAUUAGACCCGUGUUCAAGUGGAAGUGACUAGAGGAAUAAUGAAUCAUGUCGAAAGUCCCCCAAACACGAUUAAAAAUUUUCAGUCACCCUUCUGACGUACAGUCCAAAGUUCAAAGCACGGGAGCUGCAAACAAUUAUUUCACCACCGUUUUACACUUAAGCCAUAUAUAUCCUUCGUACAAAGACCAGGCGGAUUACACAUAAAGAGGUCCAAACUAGCAAGCUUCUCAACAUGCGACUAGUAAACCUGAAGCAAGAUCGAAAUAAUAAUCAAGAAGCCAAGCAGUUUCAAUGUCUAUUUUGUUUUGUCUAAAUACAUGUAGAACGUGGUAAACUAAAACUUCAACUAUAAUCUUUUAAGAAAACACCGUUGACCUAAAAAGGAAGACAUCUAACAUUAUUUUAUAAAAAAUAAACUAGUGAACAAAGAUAUUGCAAUAAGAAAGACAUUACGAAUACAUUAGCUGGUGUCUUGUAUCGUAUGAAGUCAUAGAGUGCAAAUAGUCGUACGCGAAGCAGUUCCCCGAUACAAAGUAUGUUUAAAAAUGACAAAUUCCAGCCUACUAUCUUUCUCUCUUCCCGUAGUUAUCUCUAUGAAUCCUGAAAUUGUAACCUUUUAAUUAAAAUAUUAACUUCAUGUAUAAGUUUUGAAAUUGACAGCACGAUAUCGAUAAGUUUUUAUUAACAAUAUAAGAUAUCGAUCACGUUUGGAUGCUCCCCCCCCACACACAGUUAGAAUUUCUAGUUCCACCAUUGCUUGGGUGAUACCAUAUGAUCUUUCCUAGAAGGUUCUAGAAAGGUAGUUUACCUGGGGUAUAUGCACUUCUCGGUGGGAGGACACUAGCUAGUACCGAAGUAAGCAGUUUCAUAAUUUUUUUGGUGGCAUGCCUGAAUUUCAUUCUGCUCCAGAAAUUAUUCACCAGGGCAGUGUCUUCAAGCAAGGCGCUGAAAAAAUAGGUUUAAGAACUAUUUGAUGGAAACACUUGCGGAGCAGCAGCAGUCCGGGCUAGUAUUGAUGAACCAGCCACCGGUGGGCCACCCACAUCAUAUGGUGAUGAUGACGCCUCCUUCAAAAAAGAUGAUGCCAAUGUGCAUGCCGGUACUGGACAAAGCGAAUACAACAGUUGGUCAGAGUAGUGUUGGCACUACGAUAGCACAACCAUUUCCAUAGGUUCUGUAUCCAUUAAUACUCCAUGCUCAUUGCACAUUCUGGUCAGCAGAGUUGGAGAGACGAUAUAGGUUGCCCAGGGCAUUGCCAAUCCGGUUGGUGGUUUGUUUGAUGGAAAACCUAUCCCACCCCUGUAUGCAUGUGUACGAGUGCUUGAUAUCAAUCCAAACUAUGAUGAUCACGAGAUAGAUAUCCCCACUACAGAGGGGAUCUAUUGCCUUGGACAAUGAGUCAGUAGUACCAUACUGUUGGAUAAACGAGAGAUACUACUGAUUGGUCCACAACCUUCGAUUCUUGAUGAUCCUGCCUCGCUCAAAACUUCCUCAUGUAUGAAAUCCAGACUGGGACACGUUCUUGUUGAGCAUUCACUAGUGGAAUGGACUUUGGCACCAAAACAACUAGUUCAUGGGAUAAGCAUAUCCUGCAACAUCAGCGAUCUACGCCUCUCAAACUAAGCAAUCCCAUUCACCGAACCUUCUCUUGCACCUCCUCUCUAUCCCGUCUACCCAUCCUCCUCCUUUAUACUAUCCCUGCCCGUCAUCCAUUCCUACUUUACCUUCUCUCUCCCCCAACCUUCUUCGACCCAAGUGGCUUCGGCUCGGUGUUGAUCUCAAACGAAUUUGAUACCGAACAGAUUUAAGUGUGGCUGAGGCUAGAUGUUGACAAGGGUUCUGAACCCAUAACUUGGUUGCCCGAGGUUAAGUCUGAUGCCUCAAAAUCGGAGGCUAAAGGUUGUCACGGGUUCCGAACCCAUAACUCGGUUGCCCAAGGUUAAGUCUGAUGCCUUGAAAUCGGAGCUCGAAGCUGCUAGGGCUUUAGCCGGGCUGAAAUUAAAAAACCCUGGCAAGAAAACUUGAGUGAGAAUAGUCGAUGGAAUAGUCGAUGCUCUGGAGGAUGAUGACGAUGAAGUCGGUUUCUUGGAUGACAACUUGUCCCUGGUUUCACCUCUGCACGGUUUGCUUGAGGAUAAGGCUCACGAUGUUUCCGCUGAGAGGAUUCGCAAUCCAAGAAUGUUGAAGAAACAUCGGGUGCUAUUGGUACUGUCCUUCCUAUUAUACAAGUUGUGAAGGAAAUUACGGAGCGCGCGGUUUCUGCCCACUCAGAAAGGUAAUCUUGAUAAUACAAGUCUGGCUGGUCUUAGUUUCGUGGAUGUUAGCGGGGCUUCUUCUAAAUUUUUGAUGGACUUGCGAAGCACAAUUGGCAAAGUCGGAGAGCCGUAUCAUGAACCCUCAUAUCUUUUGCAUGUAGAUCCUUUGCCCGACGGUCCUGAUCCACCUCAGGUUUUGCUGGACUACAACAAGGAUUUUGGUACAAAUAUCAAGGAGAAGUUGCUGGCUAUCCACAUUCCUGGAGCAGGUGAAGACAAUGAUCCUUUCAAUCCUCCAUUACUAUGGAGAUCGCAUGACUCACUUUGACCUGUAGGUGAAAUGGCGGGGACUGUUCUGGGUGAUAAGUUUGAGGGUGAUGCUUCCUCCGAGGCUCUUGAAGAAGGCAAGCUUGCCAAAGAAGAAGAGAAAAAUCCUCAAGUUCCUGAAGCUUCGAGAGGCUUCUAUUCAGAGUGAUACCCAAGGAAGUUUCUUUGAUCCUGAGGCUUUGUACUUUUUAUAAUAUCUUUUGUCUUUGUUGGUUUUUGAUGCCUUUGGUUGCUUAUAGAAUGCCCUUAUUUUGACAGAAUAUGAGAAGUCUUUGCGUUGCUAGGACCUUGAUCACUUGGUGAGGAUAACAACUACCCUCGGUCAUAAGGUAUUGCCUUUCCUGACUUACUGUUAAGAUUUUUACUAUUUGGUAUUUGUACGAUUUUUCUCAGUUUUACUUGUUUUUCAUUUUUAGGCUGUAAUUGCUGGCAAAGUGGCCAUUGAUAGGCUUCAAGAGAAGGAGAGGGCAGCACUCAGCAGCAGCGCUAGGGUUCUUGAGCUUGAGACUGAGGUUGCGAGGCUUAAAAAGGAGAACUCGGCUUUAGAUGAUCUCAAAGCCUCGCUUUCUGAGGAGAAUAUUGAAUUGAAAAAGAACAAGGAUCUUUUUGUGAAAACAUGCAGUGACCUCGUUCAGGAAGUGGAGACCUUUGAAAAGAAUUCUGAAGAUAGCCUCGGAGUUUUGGAAAAACUGCAUAGUGCCAUUGAGAAAGAUUCGACAACAAAUGCAGCUUUGAAGAAACAAAAUGAGGCACUUGCCAAAGCUUGCGCUAAGAAAGAUAUUAUGAUUCAUACCUUGGGAAAAAACCUCAAGGAUCAGAAAGGUUUCAUCGAUGGUGCGGAGCAAGUGCUGAAGGCCCGUUUCUCACAUAUUCAUGAUGGGUAUAAGCUUGCACUGGCAGAGUUUGGUGCAGAACCCCUUCCUUUCUCUACUGAUAAGGGAGCCAAGGAAAUGUUUGAUUUGAUGGAUCAAUAAUUUGAGUCCUUGCCCUUAGUUACUGUGGGAGCUAGUGAUUAAGCAGCCACCUUGUGUUGUGAGGGUAUGCCAAAGCUGCUCGAUGUGGAAAAUUGCUCAGAAUUUCGGAAAUUUGGUGCGCACGGUUACAAGUUUCCUUCUGCUUUAUAAUUCGAUGCACAGGAGACGUCGAAAAAUGUUAAGAUUGUGAAGAAGAAUUUCUUGAAGGAAUUUUAGAAGGCUUCUGGUCAUGACUUUGCGAAGCUUGUUGCUCGUGGUCGUCUUUUGGAGGUUCGACUUUUCCUUUUGUCCAUUCUGAUUAAGACUGCUUUUCUUUUAUCUUAUUUAGGUUGUUUGUGAUAGGCUAAAGAAGCUGAUGUGAAGGAUAAGAACCAGGUUGGAGACUCGGAGGAACAGGAGGUGUAGACCCUAGACUAGGUUUAAUUGGAAACUUAAUCUUUUGAUGCAUAGCUUAGGGUCGAGAACUAAAACAAUUGUUGGUUGUAAUUUAACCUGCACAGGUCCUAGGUGAUGGGCCUGCGCUGGACAUACUUCCUCUUCGAUUUUAUUGUGGAAACAUUGUUGCCAGUGGUCAUGCUUGGCGUCUCUUUCGUACUUUUCAUCCCGACGCUAGUUUUCAUGAUUUCUGGUGCUUUUGCUGUGAAUACUUUUCCGUGCAAAGCUUUAUGCUGGGUCGCUAUUUUGAGUCCCGCGAUGGUUAUGCACUUGGUACGAUGGAAGAAAAAAUAUUUGAAGCUUCGAGGGUGAAGACGGAGCCCCUUAGCCUAUGUGUGUGAUGCUGCAGAGUUUCGAGGUUCGAAACCUGGUCAUGUAAUCGAAUUGUCAUUCUGACUUGUAACGAAACUCAUUGGAAAAAUGUCACCCCCCCCCCUUGUUCCUUUUUGCGGAGAUUUUUGUUGCAAGAUGUUAUUCCGAGAAAUAUAUUGUGUUAUUUUUUAAAGGGUUUUCUGUCUAAGUGUCAUAACUCGAGAUGACAAGGGAUAUUUGAUUUUAGUGAGAAACGUCACCCCCCCCCCUUCCGUUCCUUUUGGCGAGGGUUAUGCUGUUUGCGGUAUUUGGUCGAUGACGGAGGUAUCCUCGAAGCUUUCUAUCUUUCACAUUUUUCCGUGUGGUAGUUAUUGAUUUUUGAAAACAGGUCCGGAGGUGUUUAACUUUCAUGUGGGAUUUUUAUACACCAGUUUUCUUGUAAUAAGUCAGCAAAAACUUGCUCCGAGUUUUGCGGACUUAGAAAGUUAAAUGACAAGUCGGGUCGAAUUCACAACUCUUGGUUGCUUCGACCAUAGAGCUGUAGAUCCUAUGAGGUUAGAUAGAAUUUUAGACGAGUAUGGUAAUGGCAAAAGCGAGGCUUUGCUUGCGCAGAAAUGCAAGAUUCGGGGUACUCUUGGAAGCAAAGUUGGUGCUGCAACUUAUUGUUGCUUUUGUCCAACGCUUGCGUGGAAAUGCAAGUUUUUUCUCACACAAAAAUGCGAGGUUUCGCUUGCACAGAAAUGCAAGGUUCACAUUAUUCAAAAAGUAAAGUUGGUGCUGCAACUUGUUGUUGCUUUCAUCCAACACUUGCGCAGAAACGCAAGUUUUUUUCUCGCACAAAAAUGCGAGAUUUCACCACAACUUGUUGUUACUUUGGCCUCGGCAUGCACAGAAAUGCAAUGCUUUCUACUUGCACAGAAAUGCAAUGUAGUAGCCCUUUCGAGGCUUAGUAAACACGAGAUUCGGGGGAAUUGUACUGCAUUCAAAUGCAAAGGUUUACAUGGAUCGCCUUGUUAAAAACCUUGCCUCCAUUGUGGAACCCCUAGAUAGGAAAAGUGUAUGUUCCAUUUGUAGCAAAGUAAAUGCAGGAAAGUAAAUUUUCUACCCUCAAUGUUGUUUACAGGCUUACAGGCUGCGGGUUUUUACUAUUUUGGUGACUAUGGGUAGUAUUUGCGCAAGUUAUCCACAUUCCAAGAAUGUGGUAACUCUGCUUCUAGCUGAUCUGCAAGGUAAAAGGAUCCUAGCCUGUUGCUUCGAGUGACAAUGUAAGGCCCUUCCCAAGUUUCUUGUAACUUCCCGAGGUUCUCCAUGUUUUUUCUCAUUUUGAUUACCAGGUCUCCUGUCUUGAUCUCUUUCUUCACUAUUUUUGUGUCCCUCCACUUUUUAGUUUCUUGUUGAUUGUUAGCGCAAAAAAUCGAACAGUGGCCCUAACUCCUGCAUCGGACACACGACCCGGGAUAAUCUGCUUAGCUCCUGUUCGGGUUAUCGCCCUGGUGCGGUUUGCGUGACGUGUGUAACACCUUGUGUUAAUGACAGCCUAAAGGUGUCAAUGAGAAGUUAAUGAUGACUUUUGGAGCAAAAAGAGGGUAAUUGACUCAAAGUCAAAUUCGAGCCGAAUUUGACCGAAAUUGCAAUUUGGAAUUUUAAAUUCGGAUAAAUUUAGCAAAAAUAUGAAGUUGAGGCUUGAGGAUGUUUAGAACUCAAAGGAAUGAAGUUGGAGACUAAUCCUAGUCUUAAACUCCUCAAGAAUGCAACUGAAAAAGAAAAUCAAUCAAGUUACUAUUCCCCGUCCGAAAAUAUGCAAUUCAGAAAAACAUAAUGAGUACCUAACUUUGAAAUUAGUUUUUGCCUAAUUUUCCAUGUAAGUGGGCAAAGGUAUCUGAACAUUAGUGAAAUAUGGCCCUUAGACAAGUUUAGUGGGAUGUUGUUGGCCAGAGAAAGUGGAGGGAUCAAAUUUAAAAUGGGACUCAAAAUCAGCACUCAAGCAGUUUUCGGCCUAGCCACUGAAAUGGAUUUUUCCCAAGUCUGAAACAGCAGUGAGUAACCAUGUUUGGAGCAAAUUUCAGGAAAAUAUAGUGCAAAAGGUAUAUGAGUUCACGUGCAAAAUGGAAUCCUUGUUAGUUGUAGAGCAUGAAUGGAUGAAGGUUGAACUAUAUGGAGUAAGUUUGAGCUACUCAAAUCGAGCUAAAAGAAGAGCAAAUGGCCCUGUACAGUGACCUGUCGAACUGAAUGGAGAUGAUUCAGAACAGUUCAGUUCUGCCUGAACUUAGGGCUUAAAAAUCUUGGCCCGAGAGAGUUUAUCUCGGGUAAAGACUAAUGUAUCAAUUGAAGUAAUCGAGUCCCUUUACAAGUUUGCUUAAAGGACUUCCGGGCCAUAGGAUUCGAAAUCAACCGUUUUUGAAGGUUUAAUUUUCAGAGUAAAAGAAGGGGAGGAGGGAAGCGAGCAGAAGAAGAGACGUGUCGCCGCCAGCGCUUUCGCCCGUUGUCCAGCACGAUGCAUAGGGCCACCUCCUCACCCACGCAAGCCUACAGCUAGGCCACGGUGGCACUCAUGCACGCGGUGAAAAAUUUGUAUACUUACUGCUCCCGCCGUCGCUCCUAUCCGUUUACCGCGUUACCUCUUUUACCACCGCAAGCAGAGCACGGCCGAGCUUCUGCCGCCGGGUGAUUCCCACCGUUCCACUGCCUCUGACACCAAUUCCUUUCACCCAAAUCCCCACCAACACCUCGCCAACAAUCGUGCCUACCCGUUUUCCAGUUUCCCCGCCGGCGAGCUCUUAGCCGCCGCCGUUUCCGUCUGCCGCCGCCAACCUCCUGCUCACGGUGAGCUUCUCUUUACCGCCACCUUCUCUCCAUAUAGUAAGUCUUGGGUAAGUCCGUAGGUCGCUAGGGAGCCUUAGGAGGAGUCAAGGGCCGUGUUGGUGCCGUUGCCGUGCUUGGCCACGGCCGGCCGCCGGCCAAGCCGCCCGCCGCCGUGGAGAGGCCAACUCCGGCCGUCUCCCGGGGGGCCGCCGCCACCCACGGGUGCGCCGUGGCUUGGGGUUGCCUCCCUGGCCCGGCCCUGUCGCCGGCGAGGCACCAGCUGUCGAGCCGCGCCGCCCCUGUUGCGCCCUGUUUUUGGCGCGGGGGAGAAGAAGGACCUGGCGCCAGGGACCCACGCGCUAGGGAGAUAAGAGGGGGAAGGGGUGCGCCGGCAGGUAGGUUAAGGGGGGGGAUAGUUGGGCCGGUCCAGCGGGCCAGUGCGUAUGAGAGAGGGUAGAAAGGAGUGGGGUGAGAAAAGUUGGGCCGGGGGUAUUUGGAUAAUCUUAGGUAUUUCCUUUUAUAGAUAAAUAUUUUAAAUUCGGUUUUCACCAUUGAAAUCACUAGAAAUUCUAGAAGUGUCCAAAAUUAGUGAAAAACCAAUUUUGUUAGGAUUAUUUUAUUUUCCUUUAUGCAUUAUAAUUUUUACACCUUAGGAAAAAUAAUAAAAUUUAGGUAUUUGUUUAAUGCUUUUUCAUUAAGGUAUUUAAAUAAAUGCUUAACCUUUAUUAAAUUCAUAAAAUGUUGAAUAAUAUUUUCAUAUUCACAAAUUAUCAUUAACCCAUAGGAAUUAAGUUUUGAGAUUAGAAAAUAUUUAUAAUGAUUUCUAAAAAUAAAAGAAAAGACCUAAGAUAGGAUUAGCAAAAAGAUUAAAAGUGAUGGGUUGACCUUUGUGGGUAGUUAGUGUUGGCUUGCAACUUUAUCAUGAUGAUAGGUUGUAUAGUCACUUGUUGGCUUACAACUUUAUCAUGAAGUAAAGUUGUAUAGUCUUUUAUUCAAAAAUUUGCAUCUCCAACCCCUGCAUGUACUAAAUCGUAGACACCGAAGCUCCAGAAGGGGAAUUCUUGGAUUUAUUUGAAGAACCUUCAGAGUUUGAGGAGAUUGUUGAAUUGAUCCCCUGUGAAGCCGGUCCGUCGGACAAUGCUAACCUUUUUAUAGAUCAAGGCAAGCCCCGGUGCAUCUAUACCUAUCUACUUUGGAGUUAUUAUUUCAUGUGUCCAAUUAUUGGUUAUUUUCCAUAUGAAUGCAUUAAGUCUAGGAGUUGAUUGAAACCUAUUCCUGUGCAUGAUCCUACCUUGUUUAGAGGAUAUCUUUGCCACUUGUUCACUAAUUAGUAAUUAUCCUAUGCUUAGCAAUGCUUAGAGACAUCAAGCAACUUGAUUACUUAGCUCUAAGGUAAAUUUUGGGUCAUACAUAUUACUUAAGGAAAGUAAGAUUGGAAAUUUGAAAAGCCGACAGAAGCUAGAGAUGUUAGUUCUAUCUGCUCGAUUAAAUUGGUUAAGGCCCGAUUGUUGUAUUAACCUUUGAUCAAGUGAGUUUCACCUGGUUGCUUACUGGGUAUGGGACUAGUAAAGCCCAGUAGGUUAGUUGACUCUCUGAUCGGGAAUAUUUCGUACCCAUGCUUGACGUGCUGGAGAAUGGCAGGGGCGUAGCCUGAAACUCACAUGGAGAUCGGGCCAAACAUGGGAUCCCAUGUGGGGGUGCGUCCCUGGGUUCGGGUAGUCAUAUUCCCAAUCUUUGGGUACGCUAAUCGAAAGGUCGUUAUGUACAACCUGAACAGUUGUACAUAGCUGGUGGUCAAGGUGCUCUCCUGCAGGAUGUAAAUUGAUCCGGAUCGCCGCAAUUCUCGGUUAUGAAUGCACUUGAUCACCGUUAAGCAUCGUAGUGUAAUCCAGUGAAUGCAAUGUUUUUUCGAGAUUAAUAUGUUGUAUGACUUAAUUCCUACUGAUUGCAAAAAUGUUUCUUUUUCGCCACCUAGACUUGUCAGGUAACAACUCAAUCUGAAAUAAAAGAUAAAGUUAAGGUUUCACUUAUAGUAAGCUCUUUUAGCAAAAUGUGAGUCAGCCAGUACACUAAACAACUAUCAUUCAGUUUCGGAAAAACUAUUAUAUUGGUUAGUCGGGUUAGUCUUGCUGAGUACCCCGUACUCAGGGGAAUCCUUCGUUGCUAUUUUAGAGCUACAGCAGGAAUUCGCCGAGGAAGAAGCCCCGAAGAACUAGGGUAUUUUUACGAGUCUCACAAUACCCUAGAAAUAAAACUCAGAUGUUUAACUUUCACCUGGACUCGUUUAUGUUUUAAACUCUUAGAACUGCUCUGACCUGCAUUAUUAAGUUUGUUUCAAACUACGGUUUGUAAUAAUUCGCACCUCGAUAUGUAUGUAAAAAUGUAAUAUUUGUUGAUACCUUCCCAUCGUGGAAGCGAUCCUGAUGUAUGGCUAUGGGACACGUUGUGGGUGUUUCGAGGAGUCCUAAGUGCGUUUUGAAUAAUUGUUGUUCCGACAGCAAUUAGACGCACUUAAACCAGCUUAAGUUGGGCGGUUCCACCACAACGUGCCAGUUAAUUUGACCUGUUGAUUGAUAAGGAAGAAAAGAUAUGAAAUCCCAGAGAAUCAAUCGUCUGAAGUUCCGAUCUAUUCCAAAAGAUGUAUCAGCGGAUUGGCCAAUGUAAUGUAAAUAUGACUGGCUAUGAAAUAGUCGAUGAUCACAUGUCAAUUGUAAAAGAAACUAUUGGAGAGACUUAAACAAUGCUACAGAGAAAACACUUGGAACAAAUCUAAUCGGCUGUAUGAUAAGAAACAAAAUAUCGAUAUAGCCGACAGUUCGUGUCUCAAGCUUGAUAACUGAUGAUAAAAACUAAAAUAACAGGUAAAACUUGUAAUUCUAGUGAAUAUCGAUAACUAGUGAAUAAAUCUAAACGAAACAACAGCGAUGCGCCCAAAGUUAAAGCUUAGAUAUUACUCGAUACGCGGAACUUACAAAUUGGCCGGAGGUCAUGUUGAUGCAGCCCUGCCAACUCGCACGAACUCGUGAAAAGAAAAGGGUUUGGCAAAGUUGCCGACUUGAAAGUAAAGUUGCGUGAAAAAGUAGAUUUGUAUUGAUGAUUCUUUGUUCUUUUACAAGCCUCACGAGGCACCUAUUUAUACCAUGCUACAACUGAUUUCCUAAAUGACUACGAUCUUAUCUCUUAUUCAAAAUAACAAAUAUUUACAUACGGAUACAACUCGCAUCGGAGUCAAACACCAAUCAAUUCUCUAUGGGCUAACUCUGUCUUCAUCUCAUUACCGCCUUGGCCCAUUUAGGCCCAUAUCAGCCAAGCUGCUCUGGCUUCCAAUCGGCCAGUCUCCAUUGACCUCAUCGAUUAAUCGGCCAAAACAAUGUAGCUUUAUCAGCCAAUUUCCCUAGCCACAACCCCCUGUUUGACUGUGUCGGCCACUUUCUUCCCUUCUUGACGCCAACCCUAACACAUUUCAAAAACUGGCAUCAACACUGAUAUUUGUCAAGGUUUUCAAUUGCCUAUAACAUGUCGAGCUCAAUCAUGUCUUUCUUGAUUUUUUUUUGUUCUCUAAGGAAGCCUCGAUUUUUGAGUACUCAUAAGCUUUCAUUCUUUAUUUCUAGUGGAGUCAUAGCCUCAGAGCCAUAUAAUAGGUGAAAGGGUGUGAAACCUGUUGUUCUUGAUGUAAUAGUGUUAUGGGACCAAAUGACUUUUGGGAGUUCUUCAAUCCACUUUCUUUGUUCUAGUCGUACAAACAUUUUUUGAUACUCAAGAACAUUUUUUGAAAUCACUAUAAUCGAACUAUUUUCCGUUGUCCACUGUUUGUUCCCUAGGGACCUCGAACCUGCAGAUGAUGUUCUACCAAAAGAAUUUUUGCACCAAGCUUGAGGUUAUGUUUGCCAGUGGCUUAGCCUUGAUGCAUUUGGUAAAGUAGUCAAGCGCUACUACUGCGAAUUUGCAGUUGCCUUGUGCGGUUGGUAAUGGCCCUACUAAGUUCAUUCCCCAUCUUUGUAAUGGUCAGGUUGGUGGUAUGAGUUGUCUGGCAGCGAGGAUGUUUUUUGCUGGUUAGUUGUCUUUUGACAAGCCUCACAAGUUCUUACUAAGCUUCGGGCAUCUAGGAUUGCUGUUGGCCAGAAAAAACCCUAUCUCACGGCUAUAUCUAAUAGGGCUCUGGUUCCGAUAUGAGAACUACAAAACCCAUUAUGGACUUCUUCUAACAAUUCUUUCCCACUCUCCGAAGUUAUAAAGCGUAGCCAAGGAGCUGAGAUCCUAGAUUUGUACAGCUCACUGUCGACCAUGGCGUAGACCCUAGCCCUUUGCUUCAUUCUAUUUAGUUCAGCCUCAUUGUGAGUCUCGUAGUGUCCUCUGAGGUAGGACAUGGUUGGAGCCCUCCAAUUGAAUCUGGUGAUUGCAUUUACGACUCUCCGAGCUAGCUCUCUAGUUGAUGGGGAGUGUAUGACCUCAUAGAAUAGAUCAGGUGGCAUGGUUUGAUUUUCCGCAGCUACUUUUGCCAAUUUGUUUGCGUCAUCAUUUUCUACCCUUGGGAUGUGCUGAACGGUGAACCCUUUGAAAUAUUUUUCCAUGGCUCUUACUGCGGCUAAGUACUUCAUAAGCUCUAGCUCUCUAGCCUUGCUUUCUUUUUUGAUGUGCUCUUGAAUGACUUAGGAAUAUUAUUUUACUAUGAAUACUUGCUGGCCCAAUGCCCUCAUUUUCCUUAGCCCCAGAAGCAGUGCUUCAUAUUCUGUUGUGUUGUUAGUGGACCUUGCCUUGCCCUUGAAAUCAAGCCUCGCGGCAUAUCUGGUUUUACACCCGAGGGUGACGUGAUAAUUGUUGACACUCCUACCCCUUGUCACACCAAGCCCCGUCGCAAUGUAUGACCAAUGGAACCUCAAUCUCAUCAGUUUCAUUGUUGCAUGGUGAUGUCCAGUCGACUAUGAAAUCAGCUAGGACUUGUGAUUUGAUUGCACUUCUUCUCUCGAAGUCCACCAGGUUUUCGAAUAAUUCUGAUGCCCAUUUUAUGAUUCUCCCCGAGGCUUCUCUGUUUGUGAGAAGAUCAUGAAGCGGCUGGUUGGUGACCACCACUAUCCUGUGACCCUCAAAGUAAUGCCUUAGCUUGUGCACUACCAUGAUUACAGCAUAAGCGAUUUUUUCUAGCUCGGAGUAGAACAGUUUUGACCCCGAUAAUGCUUCUAAGGCAAAGUAUAUUGGAGUUUGUCUUGGUUUGCCCUUGAUUUUGUUUUCUUGCACUAAGGUAGCACUGACUGCAGAGCUUGAGGCUGACAAGUAUAACAACAAGGGAGAUUUUGGUUUGGGUGGGAAUAGUUUCGUCAUGCUUGUCAGAUAAUCUCUUAGUUCUGCAAAAGCUUUGCUUUGCUGCUCUCCCCAUUAAAACUUUUUGGAGUUUCACAAUACUUGGAAGAAAGGUAGACUUCUUUCGGCUGCUCCCUUGAUGAAUCUGUUAAGGGCUACUAUUCUCCCUGUCAGCUUUUCCACAUCUUUCACUAAAAUAGACUCUUUCAUGUCGACCAGAUCUUGGAUUUUGUCUGGAUUAGUCUCGAUGCCCUUGGUUGAGACCAAGCAUCCUAGCAUCUUGCCUUGAUGAAUUCCGAAUACGCAUUUUUCUGCAUUCAGCUUCAGGUUUGUUGUCCUCAAGUUGGCGAAAGUUUUUGCGAGGUCAUGAAUGUGAUCUUUUCAUUUGACACUUUUCACCACGAUAUCAUCCAUAUAGGCUAGGAUGUUCCUUCGAAGCUAUGUACUUAGGACUAUUGCUAUCAUUAUUGAGAAAGUUGACCUUGCAUUGUUGAGCCCCUCAGGCAUUCUGAUGAAACAGUAGGUCUCGAAUGGAGUGAUGAAACUCGUCUUCUCCUCAUCUUCUUUUUUCAUUCGUACUUGAUGGUAACCUAAAAACAUAUCUAGUAGUGAUAAAAUUUCGCUAUUUGCAGCGACAUCUACCACCUUGUCAAUCCUUUCUAAUGGAAAGUCAUCUUUUGGGCAUGCCUUGUUGAGGUCGGUGAAAUCUAUGCACAUUCUCCAUUUCCCAUGUUUCUUCUUGACCAGAACUGUGUUUUCCAACCAUUCAGGAUACAUAACUGCAUGUAUUAUGUUGGCAUCGGCUAGCCUUUGGUCUCACACCUUUGUUUAUUUCUAACUUGGGCUCUAUUAUAUCUCUGUCUACUCCUUGUAGGUCACAUGAAGACCAUGUGAAGUCAUCCUUGCUCUUGUUUAGGAACUCGAUCAGUUUCUUUUCUUCAUCGAGCUUGAGUUCAGCAUUGAUGAUUAUAGCUCUAUCGAGGACAUGUUCGUCUAGCAGUACUCUUUUUGUUUUGCCAUCUGCACUCAUUUUUACUUUUUCUUUAUCUCUUUUUGGCUUGACAUAUGGUUUUUUCAUCUCCGAGGGUUCAACCUCGCUUGAACUUGCUACGUGGUGUACAUUUUUCAAACCUCGGGUUGCACCUUUUUCAACAUCCGUGGCUAUUUGCUAGUCGUCAUAUAUUGUGAUAACUGCUUCAGAGCUGGGAUCUUCAUACAUAAGAACAACUGCCUUAUUGCAGCAUCGAACUUGUUGAUGAAUCCCCUUCCAAAGAUAGCAAAUUAUGGAUAGUACAUUUCCACAAUGUUGAACAUUAUGUAUUCCGUUAUGGCAUUGUCUAGGUUUCCAAAUGAUACCAGUAAUGUGAUUUUCCCCAAGGCUCACUCUGGCUUUCCACCGAAACCAAGUAAUGGUUUUUCUACUGGCUGUAGUAGGUGAGGAUCAAUUUUCAUUUCUCUGAACGUUGCUGAGCUUCCAUUGUCAACUAGUGCUUUCUCUAUUGUCCAUCCUACAACAAUAGCCUCGAUUACCAUUGCAUCAUUAUGCGAGGAUUUUUUGAGUUUGAAGUCUUCUUUAGUGAAUGAGAUUGGCAUGUGUGCCCAUUCUAGCUUGGUUGGUGGCCCAUCACGGAUGAUCGAAUGGAUUUGUCUGAAGUAAUUUUUCCUUUGCUUCUGUUUCUCAAAUUCUAGCGAAGAUCCACUUGCUAUUGGCAUGGUCAUGCCGUAGGUGGGCAAAAUGUUCGACUUGGUGUUUUGGGCAUUUUUGAACUCGUGCGAGGAGCCCCCCGAUAUUGGCAUGAUCAUGUCGUAGGUGGGUAGGGCUUUGGGAUCGUUGUUUUGGCCAAUCUUUGGUUCAACCUUAUGUAUUUGAUUUGGUAGGUUUGGCAGAGGUAGUGGUAGUUCUUGCAGAGGUUGAGGUGGUGGGAAUCUUGUAGUUUGCAUAGCUAGCUGACUUUGAGAUUGAAACUACCGCAAUGGUUGCCACAUCAUGGUGGGUUGGUAAUUGAAUGAAGUGUUCGUUAAUGAACUUGGGAGGGUAGAUGUAUGAAUGGUGUUGGGAUUUAUUUGUGGGUAAACUUGGCAGUAUGGUUGUUGUGGUCAGAAAGAAGUGUGAGGAAUGGUUUUUGGCACUGCUGCGGCAGCUGCGGCUGCUCUUUUUUCCUCUGCUAUCCUUUCGAAGGUCUUUUUUUGUUUCUGGACAGAAAUUGGUUGCAUGGUCUCGUUAUUCGCCGUGAAAUGUGCAAUAGGACAUUCGAGGCUGGUUGUUUUGAUUGUGUGGCCUAGGAGGUCCUCUGCCUCGGCCCCUUCUCCUGCCUGAGUGGCCUCCUCUCUACCCAUUGCCAUGAUUUGUCUGUUGUUGUGGUGGUUGCCCAUUCCGAUUUUGGCUUUGUUGUUUUGAGGGUUGAUUACCCUCGAUCGGUAGCACAUGUUGAGCUGUAUAUGGCUGUUGAUGUUGUGUGAAAUUGUAUUUUAGGGCUAGCCAAUUCUGAUCUUUCUAGGUUGGCCUUUGGUGAUUCCUCUCCAUUACUCUUUUCCUGUGGUCCUCGUCUGACCUGCAGUAUUUUCCAACUUGACGAACAGAGCUUCCAUGGUUUUGGAUUUUUCUCUUGUUAGGUGCGAAGCUGUCGGGGCUAGUGUUAGCCCUUUGAUGCAAGUUGAUAUGGCUACGGUUUCAUGCACAUCUAAGGUUUAUAUCUUCAAUUGUACAAAUCUUUUGACAUAAUUGGCUAGAGGUGCUUUAUCUCUCUGGACACAAUGGAACAAGUCAUCCGAGUCUGUUGUUGCACGAUGGAAACCUUGGAAGUCUUGUAUCAGCUUUGUUUUGAGAUCAAUCCUGCUAUAUACUAACUGUAGUGGGAGUAAUGAGUACAAGUUCAGCGCAGCACUCUCGCAGGCUAUGAUUAGGGACUUGGCUAAGACUACGUCAUCUCCUCCAACUGAUGCUACUGCAGCCUCAUAGCUCAUGAGGAUUUGACGAGGGUCAUUUUGCCCAUUGAACUUUGGCAGUGAGACUGUCUUGUAGUUUUGAGGCCAUAGAGCUGUUUGUUUUAGGCCUAUAGAUAAUGGAGAGCUUUGGUCCAUUGCUAUGUAGGGACUUUUCAUCACUAGCACGUUGUGUUCAGCAAGGUUUGGAUCCAUUUGCGGAAUGUUUUCUGUGUUCAUGACAUGUUACUGUCUCGAAGGUGGUGGUUGUUGUGGUGGUGGCGUGUUUCGUUAAUAUUGCAACUCAUCCAACUCUUCUUGCAAUUCUGCUAGAUGUUGUUUUACUUGAUUUAGUUUUGAUAUUUUUCAGCUUGCUAGACGUUGGGCUUCUAGUUCAUGAGCAAACUUCUAUUUUUCUUGUUUUAGAGCUUCGAGUUGCCUUAGCACCAAGGCCAACUCCUUUUCUGUUGCACCAACUUGAUCGUUUCUUGUGCUUGACUAGGGUUAUGCUAGAUUUGCUACUUCUGCCUCGACUCUUUUUUUUACUUCUUGUUCAUAAGUUAGCCUCGACUCUGUUUAACUUCUCUAUAGUAUCUAUGUUAUUUGAUCAACAAGGAUAAUUCUUCUCUCUUGAGCCACAUGAUUCUCUCUUUCACCCUCGGUGGCUCCCUAUGGUGUGGUCUUCUUUUUCUUCAUUUGUCGAAUCGUGGGUUGUUUUACGGCUAAAACCACGGUGGGUGCCCUGUUGGUCUUAAACGAAUUUGAUACCGAACAGAUUUAGGAUUACAAAAAGAACAAUGUACACUUCUCAAUUGGAAAAACCGUUCUCCCCUUUUAUUGUGACUCAUGGCCUACUUUGUAUUCCAUAAGUACCCUCGUUCAACCACUAUAUUCUUAGGAUAUACCGUACAUAAAGGUCAUUUGGGAACAUGUGUACAAAUUGAACUUCUCCACGUGUUCACAUUUCUCACGUCUUCCGCCUGUUAACCUUGAGACUUCAAUCCUGAGCUAGUCAUAUAGCCUUUAGGCUUCAUUCGCAUCCUAAGCUGGGCACGUAGCCUCGAGGCUUCAGCUUCUCAGAGUCAUGACAAAAGGUCUUAACCUUGAGAAAUUCCUCCUCGAGCAUCAUUCCUGAGUAAAGAGUAAAAAGAUGAAAGCUCGGUAUCUAGAACCAACUACGAACACUCGAGGGUUAAUCCAAUGGAAGUUAGUCAUUAUUGUUGUCGAUCGCUACACUCGAGUCCUUUCAGGGGUAGAAGCAACGCGAGGAUACGAGAUUUACUUCGAGGUGCCUCGCACAGAACAUGCAAGGUCAAAGGGGCUUCAUUUUCCUUGCUACCGGUGCAUAACUUGCGAGGUUAGGUUAGAAUCUCCUGCCGACGUUUGAGGGUUACUGACUUUUUAAAGAUCCCAACACUCAGGCUUCUUCUUUAUACUAUAUAUAUCCCUACCUAUCCUUCUUUAUAAUAUCCCCGCGUGCAGGGAGACACGCGCAGCCUUCUCCUUUAUACUAUCCCUGCCCAUCCUCCAUAUAUUCUUACUGUACCUUCUCUCUCCCCACGUGGCUGCAACCCGGCCUUCGGCGCUAGGUCCCUCCUCGGCGGCGUUUGGCCUGUGCGUGCAGUGUGCGUGGGCCCACAAUGCUGGAGGACAUUGCGGCCCAGCUUUUUUAUUUUUUAAUCAGUUUUCAGUGCAGGGUGACAAGGUAUCCCGCCUCUGCAACUGUAUUUAUUAGGCCGGACUGAGUCCUGCCCCUACAGAUGCCUUAUAAAUGCAAUUUUACCUGGUGGUAAAAACGUUUUUUUAUGUAGUGGUGGCGCUCUCGAGUCUCCACAAAUGCAAUGAACAUGCUGCGCCUCCCCUCAAUCCGACAGAUAUAUUGGUGUUGUUACAAAUCCUAUUUUUGUGACCAAAAGUUGCAAACGUUCAAGCACAUUUUAGUUAUUUUAUUUUACUCUCUUAGUGUCAUUUUUUAGUUGUUAGGCAUCUGAGUGGCACAUCGUAAGCUUGUCCCGGUUGCCCAGCUCAUAAGCAAUUGAUGCCUGACAGUGACUGUCGUUGUUUGACCUGUCUCCACUGCUCGCUUCUGAAUUACUGGGCCAUGUCCAAUGGCAGUCUUGCAGCUGAUGAGGUGAGGCAGCAAUCUUUUUGAGGACCUGUAUGAGCCAGCUGAGCCACUGCUGCACAUCAUAGCCUGUACGUCUGCCGUCCUGGUGCGCGUGAACCACGAGGGCAGGCCCAGUGGACGCUCAGGCGUCGUGCAUUAUGUCCGACUAGCUAUGGACAAAGGUCAAGUAAAUAUAUUAUUUUAUUUUUAACAUGGCAAAUAUUAGACAUUUCAUGUUUUUUUGUGCUACCAAAAAGUUUCAAGCAAGGGCACACAGCUCACCUGGAAUCCUAACUUCACCCCUUAGGCCCUAAUUUCACUUUCCCUCUCACAUCUCUCCCUUUUCAGUCUCUUUGUGUUAAUUUUUAUAUGAAAAACGUGAGAUUGAACGAACUGUACAUCUCUAGACGUGUGAAUUUAAGAUUUUAGAAUAUUUCAAAAAAUAUAUCAAAAAUAGAUCUUCAAUUAUGUAUAAAAAUAUUAACAAUAUAGUUUCAACAACCAUUCAUAAAUUAAAUAUUAAUAACAUGAAAUCGAUAUGGAUGGUGUCGAGUCCCUGGUGUCCUAUCCCUGUGAAAGACUGAGAAAGGAUGGAGAAAAUAGAGGACGGGAUGCAUAUGGUGAAACCGACAUGUGAUUUUUUUGCCUAUAGCCCGUACAUACUACUCUCACCGUCGAAUGAAAAAGUGCAAUUUUUUCAGAUAGAUUAGUGGUGGUGUGAAAAGGCACCCAUAACCAAAUUCAUUGACCCCAUGCAGUAAGUUUUGGCAUGCAAAUUAAAUAACCACAUGAUUAGGCAGGUAGUUACAUCUAAUUCUUAGGAUUGCACUCUUUUAUGUGAUUUUUUUAAAAUGCUUGAAUGUCACUUUUCAUUGGAUGGAGGGAGUAUAUAUAUGCGCCUCAUGCUGUCACGUGGUGUGUGCCGACUGGAAUAGGUGCCAGGGCUGUUUUGGGCUCGGGCAGGCGUGAAAGCCCUGGCUGCGUGGAUAUAAUAAUGGAAUGAAUAACUAAAAUUAAAUUAGGCGGUGACAUACAAAAUUUUUUGGUAGAAACGUUGCUCGCUUUAUUAAUAGGAAGGAAAAGAGGUGAGGUGCCUUGCUUCCUCAGCUUCCACAUCUUACCUAUGUAAAAACAUUCAAAAGAGUAGGCCGGUAGAUUUUAAGAUUGAUAAAGUAGACAUAGAUUUAAUUUCGUCUACAUUUAGUACUCCAUGCAUGUAUCGUAAGUUUGAUGUGAUGGAGAAUCUUCUUUUUGCAUAGUGUCAAAGUUGGGAGUUGGGGGAUAACUAAACAUGGCCUGAGUCCACAUGCAAUGCAAGACCAGUGAUGUACACGUUUUGAGCUAGCAACAAUGGCCUUUGUACACGUUUUGUCUGUGGCGGGAUGUAGGGCGCCCGUGUGUGAGCACACGCAAAUGCCUCCCCUUGGAUCCGACUAGUAGAUUUGUGUACUGACCACUGAUGGCAUAUCAUAGCUUGUCUGCUUGCCACAUCAUAGCGCGUGAACCACGAGGGCAGGACCAGUGACCUGGCCAGGUAAGGUGGGCGCUCAGACAUCGUGCAUUAAAUAUUAGGUGACGACUCUCUGCUUUAUUCCUAUUCGAGUGAAUUUUCAAAGAGAUCAUUUGAGUCCUUCAACUUUUAAAGUAGUUCAUUUCACGUGUAAAUUGAGGUCCGUGGUUGGACCUCGAGUAAACUUAGAAUAAACCAGGACCCGGAUGAGAAUGCUGGAAUUAAUAGUUUCCAUACACUGCACAAGACCUUUAUGAACUCUUGAUUGCUUUUUGAAACACCCAAUGCACGAUCAUUAUUAACAAUGAGAUAUUUGUUAGUUCCGGUGCUAACAAGUAGGCCUAACCAUGAUACAGGCCCAAGCAGGAGAUAAAAGGAAUAAGAAAAAUAGAAGAAAUGGGUAUUUCCUACUGACAUAAAUUCAGAUAGCUGAUGCAAAAGAUAUGUUAACCCUGAAUAAAUCCAGGAACAAUGAUAAGAAAUUAUGCUAAGCAACCAAAAGUUAUAUGCAGCAGCAUGAAUGUAACAUACAAAAAUAUAACAUAUGAUUCUUUAAAUUUAAUUUAGAAAACAAUUAUUUUACUCCACUAAAUAUCUUGAUAAUACUAUAAUUUUUCUAGAAUUAAAUAAAAAUAGAAAAUAUUGCAUUAAUUUACCGUUAUCAUUCACAUUCCAAAAUAAUAAAUUUUGGGAUGUGACACUAACACAUCUGACGUUGCUGCAAAUUAUGAUAAUGAUGCACCAUGUCAUACAUUGCUUUGCAGAGAUACUUUCUUUUGACGUGGUCCUAUAUAUGUCUUGCCAUUUGCUUCGGCUGUCACCAACCUUGUUUAGGAAUGGAAUGAUGAUAUGGAGUUUAGAGGGCGACUGCAAUUCAAGAAAGGGAGAACGAUGAGAACACCAAGCUACGCAUGAUCCUGCGUCAGUGUAUACCGUCGGUGCUUGCCGUUAUUUUGCCAUUGUAAAAGUGAACCGUGGGCGCUUGUGUUACAAAGCCUAUUUGGCAGGGAGCAAAAGUUGCAAACAGUCAAGUACACGUCAUUUAUUUUCUUUUACAUUCUUAGUGUCUUUUUCUAUGGUGAGGCAUCUUAAUGGCUAUAGUGAACGAGGCCCAUUAGGUCAUAGUUUAUAAUUUCGGUGAUUGAGUGACAACAUAGUCAAGGAACUAAUAGUUUGUCAAGCAUGUGUCUUGUAGGUUUAUUAGGUCCCAAGUGUGCAAACCAAACAAUAGCAAGGUUCAAAUCAUGUUAUUCAAGUAUCCAAGCUAUGGUAUUCAAGUGACCAAGCCAUGGUAUCUAGAAUUAUUCUAUGGUAUUCAAGUAUCCAAAUGACAAAUAAAAUCCAGAGAUAGAAUAAUUCUAUAGCAUCCAAGUGACGGUAUCUUCGUUGUGCACAUGGUGAUAUUUAACUCAGAAAAUUCAAUACCAUCAGAUGUUCCGAUGGUCCACCGUAGCAACCAUCGGAGCAAUUGGUACAACUAAAAAUUCAACUUGAGUGGCAGCAAGCACUAGAUGAUCCGACAGUCUAUAUUUUACAUGCGUGGGAGCAAAUCAUAGAGAAGACGAAGACAACCCUAUGGCACCAGAUGAUCCGAUGGUCAGAAGUUGGAAGCAUCGGACGAAGCAUAUUUACUUUGCGAAGUUCUAGAGAGGUCUCGUGUGAAACUCCUUUAGCACCGAAUGUUCCGCCGGUUCUAUCGGAUGAAGUGUCAGAUGAAUUUUGAUGUGUCAGUGAAGAACUUGGGUGCGGGAAAGCCAACAACUAGUUGCACCGGAUGUUCCAAUGUAUGCCAAAAACAUACCAUCGAAACAUCCGAUAGUACACUUUAACUAGUCGUUGGAGCAACAUCUCUUUGAUAUCCUGGGCUAUUUAUACCCCAUCCAUUCACCCAAUUGAAGUUGCUGGAGUGUACAAGAGUCGAUUGGAGUGCAAGACACAUCAAGAACACAUCCAUGCAACCAAAGUGCUAAAGUGAUCAUCGAAAGGCAAUCGGCACAUGCUUAGAGAGUGAUUAGUUUAAGGAUAGGCCUAGAGAGAGUGAGUGCAAGGUGUUGCUACCUUGUGAUUGUAACACCCAAAUUUUUAGAGAAUUCAAAUUCAUUAAAAUUUGCUCAAAUUAGGAUGUCAUUUAAAUUCUAGGCAUUUAAUUUCACUUUCUUUAAAUUUAAUUAAUUCAUCAUAGGAGUUUAUUGUGCAUUCAUGCUGGUGCAUUUAUUUUGAUUGCUUGGGUUUGAAUCAAAAUUUGAAUUCCAAAUUUAAAUUCAUUUUUCAAAACCUUUUCCUUUUCCUUUUUCUUUUUCUUUUUCUUCUUCUCCUCCUGGGCCGCAUCCUUCUCUCCUUCCCUUUCUUCUUUUCUUUCGGCCCAGCCGAGCUGCAGCUUCUCCGGCCUGCUCCACCCUACCGCCGACCCCCUCCGCUUUCUCUUUUGCCGGCCCGCGAAGCUCUUCGCCGGCCCAGCUCCCUUCUCCCGCGCGGCUCGCCACUCGCCCGCUUCCUUUUUCCUCCGCGGCCCGUGAAACCGUGCCGGCCCACGAAGCUGCGCCAGCCCGCCUACCGCCCGCGGCCGCCGACAUGUGGGUCCCACCGUCGUCUCCCACCUCCGGCCGGACUCUCCUCCGCCGGCAACCGCCACGCGAGAUCUCCGCACGGGCGCCGCCUUCCCCGACCGAUUUGAACCGGGGCCGCCUCUAUCUCCAAGCGCGCCGCCUCCGCGGCCUCGAGCACCCGCGCCGCAGCACCUGAAACCCUAGCGCCCAAGCUCCCGCGCCGCCGCCUCUUCUUCGCCGCCAAGCGCCGCCUCCGGUGAGCCUCGGUCGUCAAUGACCGCCAAAACGAGAUCGCCAAGUCCUCCUCUAUCUUCUGGUGUUUUCCGCGCGCGAAACCGAGCCCCGGAGCGCCGUUUCGGCCUACUCCUCUAUCUUCUGGUGCUAAUAUUAUCAGAAGAUGGAUUUAAAUUGUUGUACUCACCCUUGCAAAACCGCUGUUCAGACCAAGCUAAUUUGGAGGAGUAUCUGCACGACUUUGAGGAGUUCUAGGCGUACGGUUCUUCAGUCAGCUGCCUGUGGUGUCGCCGUCGUCUUUGGAGUUCCGCUGCGUAAUAAAUUAGGCUUAUGUUUUAUUGAGACUUUCGGUCAUGUAAUAAUAUUUAAUACUCUCUUUAUUCACUUUAGCACUGUCUUUAUUAUUCACUAUUGUCGUACAUGUGUGUAACUUGAUCCUAGUGCACAUGUAUUUAAUGCACUCAAUUUUGUCCUUAAAAUCAGGUGUGACAAAAGUGGUAUCAGAGCCGUGUUGACUGUAGGACGUUAGCCUAGUUAGAAAAUGGUCGUAUUUAAGGAUUAUAAUAAUCUAGUAGGCAUUCCUACCUUUUCAUAAUUUAAAUCUACUUAAUUAUUCUUAAACUUGAUUUGUCUCAUCCUUGUUGCUAUUUUAAUCUUUUAUUUUAUUACCAUCUUGGUUCGUUCAAAAUUUUAUUCUAAAAAUUUUCUUCUUUCUUUCUGUUAGAUGGCUCGCACCCGGUUGACAGCACGCAAGAGCACCCGUCCCCCACGUCAUGGCAUCGCAUCGUAUCACCCCAUGGAGCCUAGGGACGAGGAGGAAGAGGAAUGUCUACUACUUCCAGCACCCGGGGGAUGAGACUGAUGAGGACGCCGUGCCCGUGCAGCAGGAGAUAGCACCGUCACCAACACUGACACCAGCACCGGCACCGGCACCGGCACCAGCACCUGCACCAGCCCCAGCGCCUGUACCUGUCAUCGACUUAUCGGACGAGGAGCCCGAACCAGAUCCCGAGCCCGAGAGAUGGAUCAGGUGGGUGAAGGAAGACUAUGGCCAAGGAGUGCACAUGGCCGACAUGCUGAGGUGGACUUGUCAUCACUUGGGAUACAGCAUAAGACCUAUCUACAAGUGUGCUCGGUUCACCCACCCUCGCUAUCCCACUUUUUGGGAGGUGAAGGUUAUCCUUCGAGAGGAGCAUGAAAGAGGAUGGGAGGUGAUGGUUGUUCACCAUGAUGUGGCGAUGAGGAGGACCAUGAAGUCCGGCAUUGCCGAGGCAGCUAGGAGCGCACUUGAGGUCCUUUCUCACAGGGAACGGCCACGGCUACAGUACACAUAUCGUCGGUUCCUUCCGUCCAGGGCUAGUGGAGAAGCAAGAACUUUCAUAGCUACUCAUGAUGGAGUUGACAUGGCCACGGACUAUCUUCGCAAGUACUUGUCGGCAACUCUCACCGCUUUGAAUGAAACAAACAACCACCUCUUUGAGACUCAACGGGAGCUUCAUGAAGUUAGGUGGGAGAGAGAUGUGCUAGUGGCUUCCGCGAUAGGGGCACCGCCGCCGCAAGAGGAUGCCAAUUUUCCCGCUUCGUCGCCGUCACCCAAGCAUCCCCGCUACGACUCGCCCGGUGCCGCCGCAGAAGAUCUCUAGGAGUUAGGAGUGUUUAGCUUAAACUUUUGUAAUCGUUAGUCGUCGCUCGAGUGUGCUUAGAUUAAAGUGUGCUUAGAUGCUUGGUUUUGUGUUACAUGUUUGAGUUGGACCUUUGUAAUGAGUGCGGUAUGUGGGGUAAUUGCCACACGAUACUGGUCUUAGUAAUAAAAGUGCUUGGUUGGGUUUUAGUUCUGUUCUAAAUCAGCUUCUAAUCUUUCUUAAUCAUGAUCUCCCAUCUGUCUAAAUCUAUCUGUCAUGCAAGCUAUGCGAUGUUCAAUUCUGCUCUCGACAUUAAUUGACACGUCAGUACUGUUUUAUUUUUAUCUCGAGAUAUAGAGGUCAAAAUGGCAUGAAACCAGUGGGGUUAGUUUCAGAAUUUGAUGGAGUAUUUUCUGUAAAUGUUUCGGAAUUUUUGAAGGAUCUGUCUGGGAGAUAUAUGCGAAUUAGUAGAGCAAUCAGAAUCUGAAACUAUCAACCGACACUGUCAGCUUGUUAAUUUUGUAACCGGAGGUCUACAAGUCCGAUUGAGGUGAUUCCAGUUGGGUUGGUUUACAAAUUUGAUAAGUUACGAUUUGGUAAUUUCUUAUUAAUUUUGGACACCUUUUGUGAUGGUCACAUCUAAUUUAACGGAGCUAACAGAAUCUAUCUUACUUUUAUAUCUUGUCGCUUUAUCUUUCUCAGUUAUUCCUUCACACACAUAUCUAAAUCUAUUGUCUCUAAUGCUCAGAUGGUAAACACCAGGUCCGGAUCAGGAGUUGACCACCCCGCAGUGCCUCGUCACAGGGACAACAGCAGCAAUCCCAACCCCGCUCCGCAACAGAAUCAACAAGCACCUGCAGGGAUGGAGCAGUUCUUGGCAGCCCAGACUCAGCUUCUCGCCGGACUGACCAACACCGUGGCAGCCUUACAAGCUCAGCUGAACAACAACAACAACAACAACAACCAGCAUCAGCCGCUGCCAAGGGAUAGGCAUAGGGAGUUCAUGAGCCACAAGCCCCCAACGUUUUCACACUCCCUAGACCCACUAGAUGCUGAUGACUGGUUGAAAAGUGUGGAGAAGAUGCUGAACAUUACCCAGUGUUCUGACAGGGAGAAGGUCAUGUAUGCUUCAGGACACUUGGAAGGACCAGCUGCAGAUUGGUGGGAUGCUUACACCACCACCCAUGCCAACACUAAUGGCAUUACUUGGGAGGAAUUUAGGACUAACUUCAGGAGCCACCACAUUCCUUCCGGAUUGAUGAAGCUCGAGAAGAAGGAGUUCCUUGCUCUUAAGCAGGGUAAUAUGUUAGUGACUGAGUACAGGGACAAGUUUGUCCAGUUGUCCCGCUAUGCUCCUGAAGAUGUUGCCGAUGAUGAGCAGAAGCAGGAGUUGUUCUUGGAUGGUUUGAUUGGACCACUCCAAUACUAGCUGAUGUCUCACACCUUCCCUAGUUUUCAGAAGAUGCUGGACAAAGCGAUUGGCCUGGAGCACAAGAAGAAUGAGCUUGGGGAGAUGAGCAGUCAUUCCAGCACCCCGCUCAGCAGUCAUUUCAGUGCUCCAGCCCCCAGCUCCAGCGUCCAGGGAUGCAGACUCCGCGCCCCAACUUUCCGCAGAAUCGCCAGAUGACUCCUGCAGGUGUUCUAGUGAGGCCCAAUGCUCCAGUGGGUAACACUUGCUUCAAGUGUGGUGAAGUUGGCCACUAUGCCAACGCUUGUCCUAAGAGGAGUGUGCCGUCUACCCCCGUGCAGAAUAAUAGCACUCCUCGACAGAAUCUGCAGGCGCAGCAGUCAAGGAACGUGAACCAAACCCCGCAGCGCGCUCAAGGACAGCAGAACUAUGUGCGUGGUAAGCUGAACCACGUGGAUGUUGAUACUGCUCAGGAGGCUCCAGACGUUGUGCUCGGUAUGUUUCUUGUCAACUCAGCACCCGCCUCAGUAUUAUUUGAUUAUGGAGCAUCCCAUUCUUUCAUUACUGCAUAGUACGUAGCUAAGCAUAACAUGCCCAUUAGUACCAUGCCACGCCAUAUGCUAGUCAGUUCACCAGGGGGAAACGUGAAAGCAUUAUAUCGAUGUAACCAAGUGAACCUCAAGAUAAUCAGCAGAGAUUUCCCGGCUAAUCUUAUAGUGUUGGAAUCAAGUGGAAUUGAUGUGAUACUCAGUAUGGGAUGGUAGAGCAAGUUCGACGCAGUGAUACAGUGUGCAAAAAGGUCGGUUCUUCUCACAAGCCCAGCAGGGGAAAGAAUUGAAUUUGUGGCUACUCUACGUUCAGCAGCAGAUUGCACCGUUAAUCAGUUGGCUGGAAUAUCUUUGGAAGAUAUCAAAGUGGUGUGUGACUACCCGGAUGUGUUCCCCGACGAUUUACCAGGUAUGCCACCUGACCGUGAAAUUGAAUUUGCUAUUGAUCUUUUACCUGGUACUGCACCUAUCUCCAAACGUCCUUAUAGAAUGUCGGUUAAGCAAUUAAAAGAAUUGAAACAACAAUUAGAGGAAUUAUCGGCAAGACAGUUUAUUCGGCCUAGUUCAUCACCAUGGGGAGCACCGGUUAUCUUUGUGCCAAAGAAGGACGGUACUCAGAGGAUGUGUGUGGAUUAUAGGGCACUGAACGAGGUAACCGUCAAGAAUAAGUACCCAUUGCCUUGCAUUGAGGAUCUGUUUGAUCAAAUGAGAGGAGCCAAGGUAUUCUCCAAGAUCGACUUGUGAUCGGGUUAUCAUCAGUUGAAGAUCAGGCCGUCCGACAUACCCAAGACUGCUUUUACUUCCAAAUAUAGUCUCUUUGAGUACACGGUAAUGUCAUUCGGGCUGACAAAUGCUCCAGCUUACUUCAUGUAUCUGAUGAAUAAGGUAUUUAUGGAGUACCUGGAUAAGUUCGUUGUGGUGUUUAUUGAUGAUAUCAUGAUUUACUCCAAGAGUGAGGAAGAACAUGAGGAACAUUUGAGGUUAGUGCUUCAGAAGUUGAGGGAGCAUCAGUUGUAUGCAAAAUUCAGUAAGUGUGAGUUCUGGUUGAAGGAGGUCUCUUUCCUUGGUCAUAUCAUCUCCGACGGUGGAAUUGCAGUGGAUCCAGGCAAGGUCAGGGAUGUUUUGAAGUGGAAACCGCCAGAGACAGUAGCUGAGAUUAGGAGUUUUCUCGGACUUGCAGGCUACUACCGCAGGUUCAUCGAAGGAUUCUCCAAGAUAGUGAAACCCCUCACUACGCUGCUAGAAAAAGGAAGGGAAUUCAAAUGGACAGAGGCAUGUCAGGCCAGUUUUGAGGAACUGAAGAAAAGGUUGACCACAGCUCCAAUGUUGGUAAUGCCAGAUCUACACAAAGGAUUUGACAUAUAUUAUGAUGCAUCUCGACAGGGUUUAGGCUGUGUUUUGAUGCAGGAAGGUCAUGCCAUAGCCUAUGCUUCCAGGCAGUUGAGGAAACAUGAGCAAAAUUACCCGACUCAUGAUUUGGAGUUAGCCGCAGUGGUACAUGCCUUGAAGAUUUGGAGACACUAUAUUCUCGGGACUAAGUGUCAGAUCUAUACCGAUCACAAGAGUCUCAAGUACAUCUUCACUCAGAAGGACCUUAAUCUGAGACAGCGACGAUGGUUAGAGCUUAUCAAUGACUAUGAUCUGGAGAUUCCCUAUCAUCCUAGUAAGGCUAAUCUGGUUGCAAACACUUUGAGUCGGAAGGGUCAUGCUAACCUAGCCUUAGCACUCCAGUUACCUGACGAGUUGAUGAAAGAAUUUGAGAGGCUGAACUUGAGUGUCGUUGCGCAUACUGAGGAAGCAACGAUGGAAGUGGAGCCAACUCUAGAGCAAGAGAUACGGGCAGGACAGCUUAAGGAUGCCAAGGUCAAGGAAAUUAAGGAGAUGGUAAAGGAAGGAAGAGCCACAGACUUUACAGAAGACUCUCAGGGAACCUUAUGGGUCAAAGGAAGGAUUUCGGUACCCGAUGUGGGGAACCUCCGUGAGAUGAUCUUGAAAGAAGCUCAUAAUUCAGCCUAUUCCAUUCACCCCGGUAGUACCAAGAUGUAUCAGGAUCUUAAGCAGAGGUAUUGGUGGCCCGGAAUGAAGAAAGAUGUAGCUGCACAUGUAGCUGUUUGCGACAUAUGUCAAAGGGUUAAAGCUGAACACCAGAGGCCGGCUGGAUUGCUUCAGCCGUUAAAAGUGCCUGAAUGGAAGUGGGAAGAAACCGGCAUGGACUUUAUCGUUGGAUUGCCCCGCACUCAAGCUGGUUACAACUCAAUUUGGGUUAUUGUUGAUAGGUUGACAAAGGUAGCACACUUCAUUCCUAUAAAGACUACGCACUCUGGGGCAAGAUUAGCAGAGUUGUAUAUGUCAAGAAUAGUGUGUUUGCAUGCUGUGCCCAAGAAGAUAGUGUCUGACAGAGGUACUCAGUUCACGUCACGCUUCUGGCAGAAGUUGCAUGAAUCCCUAGGCACAAGAUUAAAUUUCAAUUCAGCUUAUCACCCUCAAACGGAUGGACAGACCGAGAGAACAAAUCAAAUACUAGAAGAUAUGUUGAGAGCAUGUGCGUUGAAGCAUGGACUUAGCUAGGACAAGAGUUUACCCUAUGCAGAGUUCUCCUAUAAUAAUAGCUAUCAGGCCAGUCUCAAAAUGUCGCCAUUUGAAGCUUUGUAGGGUAGGAAGCGCAGAACACCUCUUUAUUGGAGUGAAACAGGAGAGAAUCAGUUAUUUGGGCCAGAAAUUAUACAAGAGGUAGAACGACAGGUCCAGAUCAUCCGAGAAAAGUUGAGGACUGCACAAUCUCGACAGAAGAGUUAUGCUGACAGCAGGAGAAGAGAAUUGACCUUUGAGGUAGGAGAUUAUGUGUAUCUCAAGGUAUCGCCCAUCAGGGGUAUGCGCAGAUUUAAGGUCAAAGGAAAAUUGUCACCUCGAUUCAUCGGUCCGUUCAAGAUUCUUGAGAGAGUGGGACAAGUAGCCUAUCGACUGGAGUUGCCUAACCAGUUGUCAGAUGUACACGACGUAUUUCAUAUCUCACAACUUAAGAAGUGCCUCAGAGUUCCCGAGCAACAGUUGCCUAUGGAGGAAUUGAAUGUUCAGGAUGACCUCACUUACACGGAAUACCCCGUUAAGAUUUUGGAUACUUUGGAAAGGGUUACAAGAAACCGGACGAUCAGAAUGUGCAAGGUUCAGUGGAGUCACCAUACGGAGGACGAGGCAACUUGGGAAAGAGAGGACGAGUUACAAAAGGAAUUUCCCCAUCUCUUUGCAGGAGUUUCCGAAUCUCGAGGACGAGAUUCUUCUUAAGGUGGGUAGGAUUUGUAACACCCAAAUUUUUAGAGAAUUCAAAUUCAUUAAAAUUUGCUCAAAUUAGGAUGUCAUUUAAAUUCUAGGCAUUUAAAUUCAUUUUCUUUAAUUUAAUUAAUUCAUCAUAGGAGUUUAUUGUGCAUUCAUGCUGGUGCAUUUAUUUUGAUUCCUUGGAUUUGAAUCAAAUUUGAAUUCCAAAUUUAAAUUCAAUUUUCGAAACCUUUUCCUUUUCCCUUUUCUUUUUCCUUUUCUUCUUCUCCUCCUGGGCCGCAUUCUCCUUUCUUCGCCUUCUUUUUUGUUUCUUUCGGCCCAGCUGCGCAGCAGCUCCUUUGGCCUUUUCCCCUUCCGCCGGCCCUCUCCGCUUUUUCUUUUUGCCGGCCCGCGAAGCUCCUCGCCGGCCCAGCUCCUUUCUCUCGCGCGGCUCGCCGCUCGCCCGCGGCCCGUGAGCGCGCGCCGGCCCACGAAGUCGCGCAGCCCGCCUACCGCCCACGGCCGCCGACAGGUGGGUCCCACCGUCGUCUCCUACCUCCGGCCGGACUCUCCUCUGCCCGCAACCGCCGCGCGAGAUCUCCGCACGGGCGCCGCCUUCCCCGACCGAUUUGAACCGGGGCUGCCUCUAUCUCCAAGCACGCCGCCACUAUAUAAGUCGCCGCCCCCUCCCCGGCCUUGAGCACCCGCGCCGCAGCACCCGAAACCCUAGCGCCCAAGCUCCCACGCCGCCGCCUCUUCUCCUCCGCCAAGUGCCGCCUCCGGUGAGCCUCGGUCGUCAAUGACCGCCAAAAUGAGAUCGCCAAGUCCUCCUCUAUCUUCUGGUGUUUUCCGCGCGCGAAACCGAGCCCUGGAGCGCCGUUUCGGCCUACUCCGGCGACCCGCCGCCGCUCGCCGCCGUCCGCCGCCGUCUGCUGCCACCGCCGCGAUGUCAUCGAUGACCGCGACCGUCGGAUCUAGAUCCGACGGCUCGUAGUGAGUCAAUCCGGCUGCGUAACGGUCAACCGCGUCGCACCGUGCCACUUUUCCGCUUAAGCUCCCACCUUUUCCGCAAAUCAACCCGCGGUCCAGAUCGCAUUGAAAAAUAUUCACAGAUCUGCCCUUGCGCUUUUCGGUUUAAACCCUGAGUUUUCUAAAAAUCAAACCACCAUCCGUUUUGGAGUUUUUGCACGUUAGACCUUCGGUUUAUACGUGUAAUUACGUAUAAGCCCUCGGUUUUCGCGGUUUGGCCCUAAAAGUCCCUGGAUCUUGUUUUAAUCAUAUCUUUUGCAUCUUAACUCUUUUUUUCGCGUUCUUUAUAUCCACGUGUUCGUUUUAAAGCGUAGAUCAAUUUUUCAAGCUUGUUUUAUCUGUUUAAUUGUGAUUGGUGUACUGUUUCUUACUUUUUUCCCAUGUUUGCUUGUAUGUGCUCGUGUGAUGCGUGUAGACGUCCCGCAGUUCGAGGGAUUUGAAGACCAAGCCUUCAAGGAGUACGAACAGUAGGAGUAAGGCCAAGAAGGCAAGUCGUGUCCUUGAUCACUACUUUUCUGUCCUAUACACCUUUACUUUCUCGUACUCAACAUUUAUGCCAUGCACUUGUUAAGAUUAAAUUGAUGGGUCCCAAUUAAGGUUCGCCUAGAUUGAAUUACCUUUGCCUUGACCAACCGGUUUACCAUUAUGUUGGGUAGCCCAUGCUUAGUGCUUACUUGGUAUAUGGUGGUUUAACUGAACACAAUGUUUAAUCUUUCUUUACUUCUAUUAUACCUUUCAUUAAUACAAGAGCACUAUUGUUAAUCGGAACAUGGAGCGACCACCCAGGAAAACAGUGCUACCACAAGACUAAAUGGCUCUGGUCUUGGCUGAAUAAUUAGAAACUCUAGUUUGGGGUAAUCUUACCGAAAGGGCAAGAGGGGAGGCGUUGAUGGGAUAUAGCACUCGCUCUCUUGGGAAGUGGGCUUGGCUAAGACACUAUACCCACUAGGGGACUGCUAUGUUCUGCUUCGACCUGAAACCUUAGCGGGUUACCACAUUGCUAGCGAAUCUUUGUAAAGGCCUCGUAGCGUCCCUAUGCAAUCACACCUCGAAAGUGUGGUAUGGUGCCUUGCAAACACCACAUGGUUGGGUCCAAAGUUCAUUUGAACUUUUACGCGACUUGUGGGUAAAGAUGUGCCACCUCUGCAGAGUGUAAAACUGAUCGAUCAGACGUGCUCACGGUUAAGAGCAGCCUGGACCCUCACGUGAUAAUAUUAUCGGAAUAUGGAUUUAAAUUGUUGUCAUUUCAUGCAUAUGUUGUUUACUUCAUUUAUGCUCAUGUUUAAUUUCGGGUGGUAUGAACUUAUGCUUAGUUAAUUGCUAAUAAAACUUGACCAACUUAAUUAAAAAUGGAUGCUAAUUAAGCCUUAGCCAUACCUUGAUUUGCCUUACACUACACUAUUCCCCACGACUUGUUGAGUACCAACCAUAAGUGUACUCACCCUUGCAAAACCGCUGUUCAGACCAAGCUAAUUUGGAGGAGUAUCUGCACGACUUUGAGGAGUUCUAGGCGUACGGUUCUUCAGUCAGCUGCCUGUGGUGUCGCCGUCGUCUUUGGAGUUCCGCUGCGUAAUAAAUUAGGCUUAUGUUUUAUUGAGACUUUCGGUCAUGUAAUAAUAUUUAAUACUCUCUUUAUUCACUUUAGCACUGUCUUUGUUAUUCACUAUUGUCGUACAUGUGUGUAACUUGAUCCUGGCGCACAUGUAUUUAAUGCACUCGAUUUUUUCCUUAAAAUCGGGUGUGACAAAAGUGGUACCAGAGCCAGGUUGACUGUAGGACGUUAGCCUAGUUAGAAAAUGGUCGUAUUUAAGGAUUAUAAUAAUCUAGUAGCCAUUCCUACCUUUCUUAAUUUAAAUCUACUUAAUAUUCUUAAACUUGAUUUGUCUCAUCCUUGUUGCUAUUUUAAUCCUUUAUUAUUGUCUUGGUUCGUUCAAAAUUUUAUUCUAAAAAAUUUUCUUCUUUCUUUCUGUUAAAUGGCUCACACUCGGUUGACAGCACGCAAGAGCACCCGUCCCCCGUGUCAUGGCAUCGCAUCGUAUCACCCCAUGGAGCCUAGGGACGAGGAGGAAGAGGAAGUCUCCUACUUCCAGCACCCGGGGGAUGAGACUGACGAGGACGCCAUGCCCGUAUUGCAGGAGACAGCACCGUCACCAACACCGACACCAGCACCGGCACCAGCACCGGCACCAGCACCUGCACCAGCCCCGGCGCCCGUACCUGUUAUCGACUUAUCGGACGAGGAGCUCGAACCAGAUCCCGAGCCCGAGAGAUGGAUCGGGUGGGUGAAGGAAGACUAUGGCCAAGGAGUGCACAUGGCCGACAUGCUGAGGUGGACUUGUCAUCACUUGGGAUACAGCAUAAGACCUAUCUACAAGUGUGCUCGGUUCACCGACCCUCGCUAUCCCACUUUUUGGGAGGUGAAGGUUAUCCUUCGAGAGGAGCAUGAAAGAGGAUGGGAGGUGAUGGCUGUUCACCAUGAUGUGGCGAUGAGGAGGACCAUGGAGUCCGGCAAUGCCGAGGCAGCUAGGAGCGCACUUGAGGUCCUUUCUCACAGGGAACGGCCACGGCUACAGUACACAUAUCGUCGGUUCCUUCCGUCCAGGGCUAGUGGAGAAGCAAGAACUUUCAUAGCUACUCAUGAUGGAGUUGACAUGGCCACGGACUAUCUUCACAAGUACUUCUCGGCAACUCUCACUGCUUUGAAUGAAACAAACAACCACCUCUUUGAGACUCAACGGGAGCUUCAUGAAGUUAGGUGGGAGAGAGAUGUGCUAGUGGCUUCCGCGACAAGGGCACCGCCGCCGCAAGAGGAUGCCGAUUUUCUCGCUUCGUCGCCGUCAACCAAGCGUCCCCGCUACGACUCGCCCGACGCCGCCGCAGAAGAUCUCUAGGAGUUAGGAGUGUUUAGCUUAAACUUUUGUAAUCGUUAGUCGUCGCUCAAGUGUGUUUAGAUUAAAGUGUGUUUAGAUGCUUGGUUUUGUGUUACAUGUUUGAGUUGGAUCUUUGUAAUGAGUGCGGUAUGUGGGGUAAUUGCCACACGAUACCGGUCUUAGUAAUAAAAGUGCUUGGUUGGGUUUUAGUUCUGUUCUAAAUCAGCUUCUAAUCUUUCUCAAUCAUGAUCUCCCAUUUGUCUAAAUCUAUCUGUCAUGGAAGCUAUGCGAUGUUCAAUUCUGCUCUCGACAUUAAUUGACACGUCAGUACUGUUUUAUUUUUAUCUCGAGCUACAAAGGUCCAAAUGGCAUGAAACCAGUGGGGUUAGCUUAAGAAUUUCAUGGAGUAUUUUCUGUAAAGUUUUCGGAAUUUUUGAAGGAUCUGUAUGGGAGAUAUAUGCGAAUUAGUAGAGCAAUCAGAAUCUGAAACUAUCAACCGACACUGUCAGCUUGUUAAUUUUGUAACCGGAGGUCUAGAAGUCAGAUUGAGGUGAUUCCAGUUGGGUUGGUUUAAAAAUGUUAUAGGUUACUACUUGGUAAUUUCUCAUUAAUUUUGGACACUUUUUAUGAUGGUCACAUCUAAUUUAACGGAGCUAACAGAAUCUGUCUCACUUUUAUAUCUUGUCGCUUUAUCUUUCUCAGUUAUUCCUUCACACACAUAUCUAAAUCUAUUGUCUCUAACGCUCAGAUGGUAAACACCAGGUCCGGAUCAGGAGUUGACCACCCCGCAGUGCCUCGUCACAGGGACAACAGCAGCAAUCCCAGCCCCGCUCCGCAACAGAAUCAACAAGCACCUGCAGGGAUGGAGCAGUUCUUGGCAGCCCAGACUCAGCUUCUCGCCGGACUGACCAACACCGUGGCAGCCUUACAAGCUUAGCUGAACAACAACAACAACCAGCAGCAGCCGCCGCCAAGGGAUAGGCAUAGGGAGUUCAUGAGCCACAAGCUCCCAACGUUUUCACACUCCCCAGACCCGCUAGAUGCUGAUGACUGGUUGAAAACCGUGGAGAAGAUGUUGAACAUCACCCAGUGUUCUGACAGGGAGAACGGGAUACUACGGUUUGCAUUGGGUCUAUGUUAGGUGGGGAAUGAAAAAGGGUACAACAACAUCAUCACCGUUCAUUCUGUAAAAAAACAACACAUGAAAUUUAUAAAAUCGUGGGCAUGUUUCUUAAAUGUUUCGAUCUAAGAAAUGUAUAUAUAUAGUCAUGGUAGAUAGUUUUUUCUAAAAUCUAUUUGUAAUCAGCUAGUCAUUGCAUAUGCUUUUAAAAUCCAUAAGUAAUUCAUGGCAUGCAACAAUCUUUUUUAUCGUGUCCAUCCUCAUCUCUACUAAAACUCGUGGAGUUUUUCUACCGUACCUUAUACUAGAAUUUGGUGGUAUGUAAUACAGAGACAAUCUAACCAUCAGUGCCUUAACAAAACACUAGUAGAGGCUCAAUUUUUUUGGGCGGCCUAAAAGGUCACCCGCCCCUAAAAAGGAGCAUUUGUAGGGCUGGGCCAUGGGUGAGACAUCCCACCAUUUUUAGGCGGAUGAUGGGGUGACAUGCCCCUGAAUAUAUAUAUAUAUAUAUAUAUAUAUAUAUAUAUAUAUAUAUAUAUAUAUAUAUAUAUAUAUUCUGAAAAUGAAAAGCAUUUCUAGAAGCGGGCGAUGGCAUCACCCGCUUCCAAAAAUUAUUUAUAGGGGAGGGUGAUGGCAUGCCGCUCCCAAAAAUUAUUUAUAGGGGAGGGUGAUGGCAUGGCUCGCCCUUAGAAAUGUCAAAUAAAUUCUUAACUUUUUUAUAUGAUCUCGAACGAAGAAAAAUUUAAUAUUAAAAUUCUAGAGCUUGAUGAGAUCUAGGUCAUUUAAUAGUCAAAAAAUCAUUAUCAGUUCUCAAAUUUUGAAAUCUAGAAUUUCUGAAUUUUUCAAACAACCCUCGAUGUAGAGCAGCUCUAUAUCAAUGUUCUAGUGGUUAAACAGAUCUAAAAUUCAUAUAUUUUUCAAUUAAGAUGGUUUAGGAUCCCAUGAUUAUUUAGGCAUUAGUUGUGCCCGACAUAACUAUUACUAUUGAUAUAGAUAGUGCAUUUAUAUACACACUAGACUAUAUAGUUACACUAUAAGAAAUCUUCCAACCUAUGAAGAACCAAAAAGUGUCGUAAACACGUUUUUUGCGUCACAAACCGUGAUUUAUGACGCGGGAGUGACGAAAACCCUUUGUCAUUAGUUGAGCAUUAUAAACCACGACUAGUGACGUUCCUUAUUUCGUUGGUUCCUACUAUUAUGCCACAAUGGACAUAAUCUAAUGUGGCAUCCGAUGUGGCAUGACAAUUGUGACAAAUUAUUUCAUCAUAAAAUGAAUUUGGCCCAUUUGUGUUGGGUUCCCACAGGUUAAUGUUGUUCAAAUAGCCCACAAUUGAUUCUGGUAGACCUGUUUGUUAUUGGGACGAGCCCAAAUUUAUUUCCAGAGGCCAUUGUUGGUUGUUCAAGUAGCCCAAAAUUGAUUCCAGAAGGCCCAUUUGUUGUUGGGUCGAGCCCAAAAUUGUGCAAAAUGUUUGCGGCCCUUUAAGUCCCGAUUUAUGAAUGCAAUUGACUUUUAGCCCAAUUAUAUGUGGGCUAAGCUCACUUAAGGAAAACAUAAAUUUAACCAAUUGGGCAUGACAAAUAAUUGAUUUCAUUUCAAUUCUGAUCCGGUUGGCAAAAUAAUAAACAGAGCACACAUAUUUAUGUAUACAAGAAAAUAAAUUAUUGUUCCCAUCGAGACAACCACUACCAUAUUGUUCUUCACAUAUCACAAACUAUUACAAGAUAACUACCUCACAAAUAAUAGAGAUUGACAAAGCUGCAUCUAGGUCAUAAUCUCAAGAGACAAAGUAGAGUAUUGAUCUUAACCUCUUCCUCGUAUAUAGGUUAGCAGUCGAUGAAGGAGUGCUUCACUAUCUUGUAUUACCUUCUUCAAGUUCUCAAUCUCAGGUGAUUGCAAUUUGAGAGUUGAUUCUAAUUCUUCUAUCUUCUUCUUCAAGGUUGCUAACUCUUGCUGAUGAGCAACAAACUAUUGUCGAAGUUGUAUCCCAUCUUAUUUGUUGGCUACAACUUGCUCCCCAUCAACACUGUUGCAUAAGGAUUUAGUAGAGCUUCUUGAGUACUCCGCUGCCUCAUCAGGUUUUUUUCAGCAAGAAGCAGCAUUGAUUUGUGAACUUCCAUCUAGAAAUAGUGGAUGCGAAAUCAGAUUGGGAUCUUGUAAUUGCGUUAAACUAAGGAAAGAAGGAACAUCAACAAUCAUCAUGUGUUUAGUUUGUUACCCUAGAGCUGGACUAAAUAGGAGCGACUACAGAUGUUGACCCUUUGGCCGGCUGAAACAGGAUAUAGUUAAACUUCGGUUGAUGCAUUUGUUUAAGUAUAAAUUAAGAACAGACAAAUAACCAAGCAUAAGAACAUGUGGCAAUGGUUGACAUCAUCUGCAAACUGAAACAAUUUCAUCCUUUAAGUUCUACAAAAAACUUCAGUUGAUGCAUUGGUUUAAUUAUAAAUUAAGAGUGGACAAAUAAACAAGAACAAGAACACGUGGCAAAGGUUGAGAUCAUACGCAAACUGAAGCAAUUUCAUCUAUUAAGUUCCACAAACCAUAUAAACAAAGAGCACGGGGAAGCAAUCUAAUAAUUUCAUCGAUUAAGUUCUACAAACCACAUAAAUAAUUUGAGAUAAAGGAGAUCUGGUGGAGCAGUAAUUCUUGGAAAAGGUGAAAGAUAAAGGGGAUCUGGUGGAGCAGUAAUUUUUCACCAACUCUUGCAAUAGGGUACAAUAGGUCCACAUUCACCAAAGCAUGCAACUAGAAUAUUGAAAGCUAAAGAGUAUGGGGAAGCAAUCUAAUAAUUGAAUUUAGCAAUAUGGGUUGGAGACUGCUGAGUUGACGAACAUGAAGAGAAGGAGGUGCCAAAUGCCGCCUCGAUGGAGCGGCCUGGGCAUGCGCCGCUUCCUCGGUCUUCCUUGAAUGUAGUCGGGCACGGUAGCCGUCGGUGGCAGCCUCAGGGAAGCCGACGGAGCGACAGCCUUGAACCAUCUCGUAGCUUCAAGCCCAUCGCCGAGGAAGGCCGCUGCUCGUAGCUGAGGUAGCCCACCGCUAGUCCAGCUUGACGGUGCUGCUGAGGUCACGCUUGCUGCUGCCGCUGCAGAUCUACUAGGGCUAUUUGGCAGGAAGAGGAGAGAGGACCGAUUUUGGAAUUAACGGGCAGUAUGUGGGAGGCUUGGUUCCCCUCUUUUAUUUAAAUAUAAUGGGGGAGGACCCCGAGGAGGACUGGGGAAUUCAAAAUUUCACUUCCCGCCUUUGUUCUCUGUAGCGGGAGAUGAACCUCUUUGGAAACUGCCACGAGACCUGGGUCACUUGCACGUUGGACCGCUUGGGACUCGGCCCCGAGCGUUAGUGACCUUACAUAGACGAGCGGUUCCAGAAGGGAGUCUGGGACAGUCUGUGGUAUCAUGGCAUUGUUGAGCACUCCACGGAUUAUCCUUCUUGGUUGAUUCAUGUCUGCAGGAUGAUGUGACUAUUGCUUUACAAAUGUAGUUCAGUGCAAUAAAUUAAUGUACCGUUUUGACUGUUUCCAUGAUAAAAUACACUUAAAUAAUACAUUAAAACUACAACGGACUCUAGCGGUGGCCUCCUAAUCUCUACUCAAUGUUCUUUAAAGCAAGCACACGUAUCCUCUUGAUAACUUCGAGAUGGUGGUAAUACAAGAACGCAAAAUUCUUUGUGAGAAUUCCGUCCAGCGAGAUUAGCGCUAUGAGAGACAUGCACUUCCGCUACAAUUGGGUGUAGUUAGUCUCAAAUGCCCAUCUUAGAAAUGUGGUCACAGUUUUCUCACACGCCAUGUCCCACAUCUUUGACGCAUAGUGUAGUUUCAACCGUUCGAUGCAGUACAGGUUGGCGAGUGAGAGUAACAGAGGCCAGGCGUUGACAGGGGUGUCCCAUAAAUCAGCCUCAUCUGGGAGUGAUCCUUUGUAGGCGUAUUGAUCUGCAGUGAGAAGCCAGCAGAGUUAGUGUCUUUAAUUGAAAUAGUUUUUGACUUUGACUCCACUGCACUACCAUAAAGCAAUGCCUCCAUCACACGAGAUAGUGCCACCACAUCGGGCCGUCUUGCUCGAAUCACUCGGCCACCUAUGUUGAAGACAACGUCCACAGGGGCUUGGGCUGCAAAUCUUGGGCAUAUGCUUCUACCUACUGAUGGAGGUGGAACUUCAACGUAGUCAUCCUCCAGUACUGUAAUAGUGCAGGAUAUGUUGACGCAACCGGAAUGGUCCCACACACGCUCAAUCUCAUGAUGCCCCACGAGGCAAUUAAAGCCAUGUUCUAGAUUCCCAUUCCCGAACUUCCUUUAAAUCUUGAACUCAAAAUGUAUCAUCAUAAUCUAUUGCGUCUCCAGCCAUCGGAUGGAACAAGACUCGUACCUACGUGCAAGCAUUCACAUGGUUGACCAUUGGAGUGUAUAUGUGAGCAUGUGUAUUCAUAGCAUGAGACACCUACCUUUGGCGUGUUGUUCAUCAGAACGAGGACAACGGAAAUUCCUUCUCGUCCGCUGGUGGGUACCACGAAUCAUGAAUACCCGUAGGGUAGCAACGUAUCCUCCAUUGAUGACCUCCGAUCAUGAAUGUACUGGAUUCCUUGUACUACUGAAUAGUUCUUUCAGCUUUUGCUUUCGUGCUUGAGACUGAGAAGUCGACUUGCGACGCAGGGAACAUGGUAGUGUGUAAUGCCAUAACUGCAAAUGACAAUGAUUGACUCGUGGAAGUGUGUCAUUCCGAAAUGGCCAUUCGUGAACAUCCGUUACCAGUCUUGAAUUGACACGUCCCUACAAUGGCAGUCAUGAAUGCCCGUUACCAGUCUUGAAUCAACACGCCCCUAUGGUGGUGGUCAUGAAAACCCGUUACUAGUCUUGAUUCCUGCCCUUUGGCGGUAUUUGGUCCGCCAUAUUCCUCCUAGGCCUAGUUGCAUUGACCAGUUCACGUUUUUCAGGCUCUGCUGGCAUGUGAGAAUCAUCUAGUGUGAAUCCAUGCCCUUGGCAAUCCUUUUCAGCCACGCACCAUAGAUAAGUAGGACUAGUCAUGAGAUCCUGCACCGUGCAUCUGACAACGUAAGGACUAUCCGACCUUAUCGAUUUGUGCAACAUGACAACAAUUAUUAUCUUACUCCAGAUGAAUGGUGGCAAGAUCUUUCUUUCAUUUAACUCACAUUCAAAAGGGAACCUAUGACUCAUAAUCUCGCAUGAAUUGUUUCGCAUGAAUGUCUGGUGUUGUAUGCUGGAUAGUCCAGCGAACUGUACACAUGCACACAUUAGGCUUAUCCUGUGACACCCGUCGUGUGCACAUGUAACCGAUGUGCAAAACUGAAGAUUGCUACCUACAUUUGUGGUAGGCUUAGGCCUAAAUAUAUUAUGAGCAUCUCACAUUUUUCAUUGCAACUUUGUCCUGCCACACCGAGCUCGCAUGCCCGCCAAAGUGCUAAAUAAAUAGAUGGCACCUUGACUCAUCAUUUCACUAUCUUGCAUUGUUCUAUGUGGAUUCCUUUGUUAGAGUGUGUCGUUGAACUUGUACCGACUGUGGAUCUAUUCCUAUGUAUGCGGCGGCCUAUGAUUGUGGUGCUGGUAAUAAGAAUGGUCAUGUUUAUCUAUGUUCUAACACAAAUUGUUGCAUUUGUGAUUGGUACGUUCUCAUUGCCAUACAAUUGUGUAAAGGAUCCACAAGAGAAAAAACUUUUAUGAGGAAGGGGGAAAGUCCGUGCUCUGUUUUUGAGCUGACUAGAUGAAAGUGCAAGAAAUAGGCCUUCUUGGUCUCAAAACAGUUCUGCUAGGUUCAACAAAGGGAAAAGUCCAUUAUUUAGUUUUUUAAUAGACCGGUUAAAAUUGUUACCAAUAAUAAUGCUACUUAAUUAAACUCAUCUUACUAGCAAAAGAAAACCACAUCGCAAAGGAAUCUAGAUCCAAGAUGACAACAGAUGCAGUUGAUGCCAAUAACUGUCACAAAUGAAUGGUGGCAACAUCUUUCUUAUAUUAAACUCACCGUCGAAAGGGAACCUAUCACUCAUAAUCUCGAAUGACUUGUCUCGUAGGAAUAUUUUGUGUUGUAUGCCAGACAGUCCAGCAAAUUGUACAAAUGCACACGGUGGGCUCAUCCCGUUACACCCGUCGUGCACACAUGUAACCGAUGUGCAACACUGAAGAUUCUAACCUAGAUUCGUGGUAGGCUUAGGCCUGAAUAUAUUCCGAGCAUCUCACAUUUUUCAUUGCAACUUUGGCCUGCCACACCGAGCUCACGUGCCCAUUGUAGUGCUCAAUAAAUAGGCGGGUGCACAGCGUUCUUGCAAGGCAACGCCUACACUCAUCGGUUCACCAUCUUGCAUUGUUUGAUUGGAGGUACGCGAGCUCAUUUUCUUAUCUAUCUCAUUUACUAUAUAUGCAUGGUAUUGAUAUGGUCAGCAUUGUAAGUGUUUGGUGCCAUUGUUCUUCGUUUGUGUAUGUAGUGGAGAAUGACCGGACAUGGAAGAGACAGAGCAUGGAACUUGGAGGAGUCGAAUAAGCGAGAGCAGCCUACCCCCAUGGCACCUUAGCAGUAGCCGGCUUUGAUGGCACCUGUGCUUUAGCCGCUAGCAACGGUACCUCAGCAGCACCCUGUCCGCAUGGCACCUCCAAUUCAGCCGCUGGCAAUGCCACCUUAGUAUCAGCUGAACAUCAUGGCACCACCUUUUCACCUGCUGCCCAGGCCUCCACCUCUGCUGUUGCCCAUUGAAAUGCCACCGCCAUGACCUGUCCUCAUCGAACUAGAUGAAUCGCAUGAGCUGAAAUGGUCUGUGUUGGCUUGGCUUCAGUAGUCCGGGCUCAACCGUGUUCGUCUCCAUGGUAUGUGGGUCUGCCCUUUUUGCCAGAUUUGUCACAGGCAAUGGACCAUUCGUGACCUCGUGUUCCAUGCACAUACCAUCACCAUUUCACCUGCAUCGAUGUGGGAUACUAGGGUGAGGCAUCGUGCUUUAGAAGAGUAUCUCCACCAAGAUGGUUGUUUUGCUGAAUUCCAUGCUGCCGCGGGGUUGCCACAAUGGUAGUAGUAUGUCGGCGCACCAUUUGUAUGCCUAUGUUUGUCGUGCUUCUCGUUCAUUAGAGUGUGUUAUUGUACCGACAAUGGACGUAUGCAUUGGGUCUAUGUUAGGCGGGGAAUGAAAAAGGGUACAACAACAUCAUCAACGUUCAUUCUGUAAAAAAACAACACAUGAAAUUUAUAAAAUCGUGGGCAUGUUUCUUAAAUGUUUCGAUCUAAGAAAUGUAUAUAUAUAGUCAUGGUAGAUAGUUUUUUCUAAAAUCUAUUUGUAAUCAGCUAGUCAUUGCAUAUGCUUUUAAAAUCCAUAAGUAAUUCAUGGCAUGCAACAAUCUUUUUUAUCGUGUCCAUCCUCAUCUCUACUAAAACUCGUGGAGUUUUUCUACCGUACCUUAUACUAGAAUUUGGCAGUAUGUAAUACAGAGACAAUCUAACCAUCAGUGCCUUAACAAAACACUAGUAGAGGCUCAAUUUUUUUGGGCGGCCUAAAAGGUCACCCGCUCCUAAAAAGGAGCAUUUGUAGGGCUGGGCCAUGGGUGAGACAUCCCACCAUUUUUAGGCGGAUGAUGGGGUGACAUGCCCCUGAAUAUAUAUAUAUAUAUAUAUAUAUAUAUAUAUAUAUAUAUAUAUAUAUAAUAUACUCCGUAGCCAGCUAUAGAAUAGGAUAUUCUGUAGCCAGUGCACGUGGCAUGUGGUGAUUGGCCAUCCCGCUCACGUCUGGUCGUUCGCGCGAGACCAUCAAUCUAAUAUCACGCAAGCCAGUAAACGAGCUGUUCGUGCGAGCUAUUGAACGAGCCGUUCGUGCGAGCCAGUAAAUUAACGCCAGAAAGCCAUGCUCAGAGCCAUGAACGGCCAGCAACGUCAAAACGGCCGCCACAGCACAAAUCAGGAUCCGGCGUUUGCUGAUUUAGCCCAGGAUUGAACUAACCAGUAAAACGACACAGCACAAAUUAAUUCUCCUGCUCAGAUCCGCCGCCACAGCACCAUGGCCGCCGCCACCUACUGCUCAGAUCCGGCAUCCUUGGCCGUUUCCCACGCAGGCCCGCGCAUGCAGUCGCCGGGAGAUCACGCCGCCGGCACUCCUGCCGCGUUCGUGCGGGGGGCCGCCGGUGGGUUGGAGCCGACUUCCCCGAGCCGCUGCUGUUGGACGGAACAGAGCUGUUACGACAUUGAUUGGCUUCACUCAAUCAGCGCGAGGUGCUCGGAUGAAUUUGUGGCUGUGGCACUAAUUACGGCAGCAGUGUAAUCAAUCGACAAUUAAUUGCUGUCGUUAAUGGUGAGUCCAUCUCCUGUGCCUGCAAGAAUCCGGAGGUCUCCCUGCAGGUUGAAAUUGCAUCAGCAGGUUGGGUCUCGCUCCUGCACAAUCCGAUUCCAUGGAUGGCGCAACUUCAACACCCACACCGGAGGUGUCCCCUGUACUGCUGAUGCCGCAAUCGCCGGAGCUGGAGGUAAAUGGCGCACGGGUGACUCCUCUCCAACAUGUGUCGCCAGAGACGAUGGCAACGCCCGAUCCGGAGAGGACCUACUUGCAUGUGAGUGUGCUGGCUUUUAGUCUUUUCUUCUUGCUGAUCCAGCUAAAAGCUAAAUGGUGUCGCAUGGCUAAAUUUCCAAAUUCAUGUUUUAGGUGACCCCCCCAAAAGGUCUGAAAGUUCAGGACACAUUUGAAUGAACCUUGAUAGUAAAAUCCAGGAAACAGUGCUUGGUGCCAUUAUUCAGAAAUUCAGAAAUCAGAAACGUCCAGCAUGAAUUGCAUUAUGAUUAUUCAUUACCUAGUUGAUUCCUGGUAUAUAUAUACCUAGCUUUCAGAAAUUCAGGAACCAAAGCGUACAGCAUGAAUUUCAUUACAUAGUUCAUUCCUGAUUAUGUUAUCAGAAUUCCAGAAAUCUUAGAUAUGAUUGGUUCAGUAAUAUGCCAUGUAGCCCUACUGAUGCAGCUGUUGUCCCCUAUCUCAUCCUAGUGUAGUUUGAAAUAAUAAAGAUUGUGCUCCAAACAUUCUGUAGUAGAGAUAUGUGUAUUUUAGAAGUUGUGGUACUGCCUUUCUGAUAUGUGUUUUUUUUUCCCAGGAUCCCUUGUUGCCAGAGACAAUUGUGCCAACCGAGGAGCUGCGUUUUGACAGUAGAGAUGAAGCCAAGGAAUUUUACAAAUUCUAUGCGGGCAAGGCAGGGUUUGAUGUGCGCAUAACCAAGACAAGUAGGAAGACGGUACUGGAGUUGUCGUGCAACAAACAAGGACACUGGGAUUACUACAAGCCUGGUGAGGAGAGGGUACGUGAGAAAAUGUCAAUGAGGUGUAGCUGCAAAGCUUUUGUGAAGAUUAAAUGGAACAAGAAGAAGGACUAUUGGUUCUUUGAGAGGAUAAGGUUGGAGCACGAUCAUCCACUGCAUCCCUCGCCGACCGUAACACAGUUCUUGAGGAUACAAAAGGACAAGGACCCUAUAGUCAUGGGUAUUGUUGAUCAGAUGCAUAGGUGUGAUGCUUCCCACAACACUACAGUAAAUGUGCUGGCAGAAUUAUAUGGUGGUCGGCAGAACUUCACGUUCACGGAAAUGGAUUUGAGAAAUAGGUAAUGUCUUCAAAUGUACUAUUGUUGAUGUUGUUGUUGAAUACAUGGAAACCUUUAUAAUUAAAUUGAUGUAUGUGUUCAUGGUUGCAGGAAAGCUGCAACUGCCAGGGAGGAGAGGGAAAAUGAUAUACCAAAGUUGCUUGAGUUCUUCAGGGAGAUGAAGGCCCAUAAUGAGUAUUUCUACUAUGAGUUGCAGGUAGACAGUGAAAAUGUUAUCAAGAAUGUGUUCUGGAGUCAUGCAAGCCAGCGUGCAGAAUAUAUAGAUUUUGGAGAUGUGGUUACAUUCGACACCACAUACAAAACAAACAUGUAUAGCAUGCCUUUAGCCAUGUUUGUUGGGUCAAACCAUCAACUGCAGAAUGUCGUGUUUGGUCAAGCAUUGUUGCAGGAUGAGCAAGCUAACACAUUCGAGUGGUUGUUUGGGGCAUUCAAAAACUGUAUGUCCGGAGGUCGGGACCCACGGUGUAUACUUACAGGUGAGGAAUGUUUAUACACGAAUGUCAUGAGUGAUACGUAACUUGAAAUAAUUGGUAACUUUGUCGCAUUUACUGUGUUGCAGACCAGGAUAGUUCAAUGGCGGCAGCGAUCAAGAAGGUGUUCAAACAAACACAGCACAGGUUGUGCCGUUGGCACAUGCUUAAGAAGUAUAAAGCAGAGCUGAAAAAACUAUACAAGAUUCAUGAUGGUCUGAAGAUAAAGCUCGUCACCGUAAUCAAUCACCCACUUACGCCUACAGAGUUUGAGUUUGCAUGGAAUGAGUUGGUGGAUGAGUAUGGCAUACGGGAGGAUGACACUAUUCAGGGACUUUGGGAGAGUAGGAAAUUGUGGGUUGCUGCUUAUUUCAAGCCCUUGUAUUGUGGCAGGAUGACCUCUACACAGAGAAGUGAAAGUGUAAAUAAGAUGAUCAAGGGGAGUGGCUUCACAGGACAUAUGACAUGCAUGAGUAAAUUUGCACGCAGGAUGCUAGACUUCAUUCAACACACCAAUCACACAGCGGGUGGGGAAACCCAUUGGUCUCAGGUAAUAGUGACAAUGUAUUGUUUGAAAAUAUCAUUCACUAGCGUUUACUAGGGAUUAAUGUUUUAAGUGGUUGCCCAUGAAAUAGGCUGGUAACUGGCGGCUGACGUUGCAGCCCUUUGAUGGCCAUCUUAGCAGAGUGUACACACGAGCCGUGUACAAGAAAUACAGGGAAACUUAUAUUUAUAAUACUGCUUUCCGUAUUGAUCCUCAUCCUACCGAGGUUGAUGUUUACCUGGUGACUCACACGGAUCAGUCAUGGCAAUAUGCUUGGUUUCAACAUUCAUUUAGAGUGGAGGCUGAUGUACGAUCCGGUAGAUAUACAUGCGAGUGCAAGACAUGGGAGCAUACAGGUAAAAAUGGUGCAAUUUGAAAAAAAUUCAUCUCAGCAUUUCAAUGUAUAUUGUGGCCUGGUGAAAUGGUGAAAAAGUAGCACUGAUUAUGUUUAAUUUCAUUGUUACAGGCUUGUUCUGCGCCCAUCUUAUUAAAGCCUUCACGUACCUUCAGAUCGACAACAUACCUGCAGAGUACAUAAUGAAGAGAUACACGAGGGGUGCAAGAACGAUGGUACCGUGGGACAGGCAUGACAUUGUGACUUCGGUACCGGGUUGUGAGAGCGAUCAAUACAAAACAAAGAAACUAGUAGAAAUUGCGAUGGCUGCUGUGAGAGCAUGCCGCAAAACAAGUCUUGGGUUCGAGAAAGGCUGUGAGCAGCUGUCUGCAUUGGUUGAGUGGGGUGAAAGUAUUGCAAAAGGUACAGGAGCAUCACAUGUGGGGGAUCAUACAGAAGAACAGAGUGAUGUGAUCCCGCAUACUAUAGGUGAACCUGCGGCUAGUUUGGCUGAACAAGAUUCAGCAGUUGAUACUGCAGUCCAAAUUUCGGAGUGUGCACCAAGGGAGGCAAGAACAAAGGGGAGGAAGCGUGGAGGGAGACAGGUUGUUAAUGAACAUGCAAGUUCCAGUAAGGCACAGGGGCAGCGGACAUGUGGAUAUUGUGGAUCUUUGGGUCAUUAUAGUACGGGGUGUGAUUUGAACCCGGAUAACAUCAAUAAGAAACGAGGUGCAGGUGGGAGUUUGCGGGGCAGGAUGGGAUGGAAGAGGGGGAGACCACCCACAAAAAGGCAACUGGAGGAUGAGUUUAAUGGUGUUGCAUGAGUUGUGUUUACUAAUUGGGUGUGUUUGGAACAAAUUAAUGGUUGUGUUUGGAUAAUUACUGAAUGGCUGUAGGAGAUUAUUGUGCAUCAUGAAUUUAUUCAUUCUGGUUCCUUCGUGUCUUGAGUAUUGUGAACCCACUUGCUAUCAGUGAUGUUGUUGGCAACUAAACUGUUCGCAACUAAACUGUGAUGUUGUUGGCGCCCAGCUGCAAGUGCGCGCAGCAUGUUUUGCAUCUGCUAAUUUUUUUUCCGGCCAAUGUUGCUCAGGUUCGGACUGUAUAAUCGUUUACACUUGUUUUACUGUAUCCAGCUGCAAGUGAUCGACUUACACUAUUCAAUGUCAAAGAAAUGAUGGUUUAGUGUUUACGUGUGCUAGUUAGUGUUGUCGGGCGUACAGCUGCUUCCACAGUUUGUUCUGAUGUCAUGCGUUUCGUGUCCCAUGGUAGCUCUGAUUAGUUUAGCCUGAAAUCAGGGCUUAAUAUGUCAUUUUUUUGCUACUGCUAUCAGAAAAUGGAGGCAUGAAGAACUAAGACAUUGCAUUGCCUUUUCAGAAUUAUUUGUGAAUCUGAGGUAUUAUGAGGCCUUCUAAAUAUAUUACUGUACUUUUAAUUAUUUUAUACUUGUAUACCGAAUUGUUUGGCAAAUUUUGUAGUUUUCUUUUCCGAUUGUAUAUUCGAUUACACCGAAUUCAUAUUGGAGUAUCGGUGACAUACCCUGGGCCUGGGUUCGCCGGCUGUCCGGUUCAGUUCCUGUCUACUUCCCUUGUUCUGAAUCUUAAGAUAAAUCCAUCUUCAUCUUGCCUUGUGUUGCAGGGCCUCAGGAGGAACAAGCAACGGGAAAAGGACAGGACUGGAAGGAACAGGCUGUAUAAUAAAAUGGAGCAGUAAUUAUGUACUAUGUAAUUGAGAUUCUAGGAGUAGAAAUGGAGGCAGUUGUAGUAAAUUAGUGUACGACAUUAUCAUCUAAUAAAUUGUAUGGAUAUUUGGCAACUGUGUUUUUUAAACUUGUUAUCAGAGAUGAAAUUCCUUUAUCACAAAAAGUGCAUGGGAACAUUCAGCAGAAAUCAGAAUGUCUCUGCUCAGGUCAGAAUGUCUCUGCUCAGGUCACAGGUGCAGCUGAACAUAUUCGGACUGGAAAAUGCAUGCACAGAGCUCGCCAACAUGGACCGGCCAGUUCAGCAACGGCCUCACCACCCAAACACAUAUUCAGACUGGAAAAUUGGACCCAAGAAGCACAGUAUUCCAUUUACAGUAUGGAUAUUUGGCAACUGUUAUUUACUGGGCAUGUGAAGCACAAAACUUGUAUUCCAUUUACAGUAACAACUCAAAUUUGUGAAGAACAUAAUUAAACUUAUUUGGGAUCCAUGAAAUUCAAGCGACCACACGGAAUGUCUAUGUCUGGAAGUUGUAGAGAAUGAAGGGACAGUAAACAAAUGAAGGGACAAUAAACAUGUUUCUAGUCCACUAGGAUCACAUGCGACGCCUAUGUGCUUCUAGACCACCAGGGAGCUUCUUGAUCUCGUUGAUUGGAUGGUAGAUGCCGUAGAAUAGGAGCUGGGACCUAUAUUGCCGAAUGUCUUCCUGCAAUGCAUAGGUAAACAGCAAUCAGGACUAUUGUAGAUGGAUUAAUAAUUAGAAACCUUGAGUUUUGGUAAGAGUGGUUAGUCGUACUGUUAGGAUUGGAACGUGGAAAGAGUCACCGUUCCAUAGCUCCAUGGAUUUGAUGGCAUAGAAUCCACAAUCAUUGUCGUCCGUAUGCAUACAUGGAACAAUGAUAGGACGUUUGAAUCUGGUAAAUUGCUUCAUUUCAAAAUCUGUUACCAACUGGAACAGGAGAUUAAGGCGUCGAAUAAUUCGGUCACCAAGGACUUGGUGGUAAUCUGUGUGGUCGUCUGGACUAGAAUCAAUUACAUCAAUGCGGUCAUGUAUGAAGUUGAUGCAGUAGAUGGUAUAGUGCUCCUCCUCCAUAACCGGCAAAAGGAACUAGACAUGACAGAGGUAAAAUGAAGUGCGGAAACUGUAAGUUCAAAAUCAGUUGGCAGCCUUUUUUUGUAGUACAUUGAUGUGGUUGUCGGGAGUAGAUAGUACUUACUAGUUUCACUUUGGUUGCGUCAAGAUCUCCAAUAUCUCGCUGUAAGACAGCUAGUGCCUGAUGUGAUUCCCACUGAGAGAACUCUUCAUCUUUCUCAAUAUUGACAUAUUCCUGGAUGUAUAAUAUAAUGACAUUAGAGGGUGUAAAUUUUUUUAUUGAAUUGUGUAGUGAAUGGAUUAGGUACGCGCUCACCCCAAGCUCUUGAGAUAGAAAGACCCUAUACCCACCACCAUCAGGCAUGUGGCAUUCAUCGUAGCUCAUGCAGGCCACAAGGUAUGACAUGAACUGAGUGGAAAGCAUCUCGCCAUCAAGGAAAGACUCCUCUAUAUCUAAUCCACUGAAUUCUCUCAAGCCGGUACGGAUGAAAAUAUCGCUGGUAUGCAAAGAAAUGACUCGUAAGUGUGUGCAUGCAGCAUUGGAUCUUCAGGAGUAGGUUGUAAACAAUACCUUUUGCACUUCAUGUCAGUUCUGAACUUUUUCCUAACAGCAUGUGCUGUUAACUGUGGAGCUUUAGCUCUUUGUGGAUCGCCUUUGAAAGGGGACACGUACCUGGCUGGUCGUUUUGUAAGUCUUUGUGGCCUUGGAGCAAUGGCUGGACGAUGGAUGAACUCCUCUUGUGUGCAAGGCUGUAGAAGAAUAGGGCCAAGUGCAUCAUCUUUGUUGGUUGCAGCUUGAAAAUUUUCCUCAUCUCCUGUUAUUUUUUGGAAAAAGAGACUAACAUGUAUAUUUGCACAACAUAAUAAAUAUGGUAGUACAUACACAUAAUUUAUCUGUCACAAAUCCCGGACCAUGUCGUGGUAAGCAGGGACUAAUAACUUUGUGAUAUUAUAGUCAACCAUUACUAAACGUAGCAGGUAGCUGCUGAUCACAAAUCCCAGACCAUGUCGUGGUAAGCAGGGACUAAUAACUUUGUGAUAUUAUAGUCAACCAUUACUAAACGUAGCAGGUAGCUGCUGAUCAUGUGCAACUUGCUCUUGUAAUCUAAGGCAAUCAGUACUGUUGUGAUGUCACUAAGAAAAUGUUAUAUUCUGAAGACAUUAAUUUUAAUCCUGUUGCUGCCCGCAAGUAGAAUAUAUAAUAUGUUACAUAUUCAUAUAUAGGUUCACACAGAAGUGUGGUUGAAGAACAGAUAGUUUACUGUAAGGUUGAUGCAUAAAAAAUACAGGUGUGAGUGUGUACAACUGAACUAAAAUAAGUAGCAGGAGAAAAGGAUGAUGGAACUAUUUGAAAAGAAUCCAUACUGCCAUUUGGUGAAGGUGCGACAGGGUCUCCUUUAGCCGGAACAUGAGGCACGAUGUGAACCUAUACAUGAAGAAUCAAAUAUGUGUUCAGAAGAUGGCACUGCUGGUGCUAAAUAUAGUCGUGUUGUUACUGAACAAUGAAUUAGAAACCUGAGUACACACGGGUGAAAGGUCGCCUUCCAUUAUGUUGUCAUGUGCUGCACCAAAUACAUUUUCAGAUCCAACAUUAUGUGUAAUGUGUCCAUUCAUAUCGAUGUCAUUGGCUUGCGCUGCAUAUAGUAAGAUAGUAUAUGGAAAAUGAUGAAAUAGUAAAUCAAUAUGAUGGCAGUGGACAGUAUCUACAACAAUAUAAAUCAGUAAUUAAUUUAUAUCAAUAUAAAUCAGUAAUUAAUUUACUCCAGUCAUGGCAUGCAUAUGGAUGGCAAGAUGGUGUACUUACAAUCAAUAAUAUUGCGCAUCCUGAGAAUGAUUUCUUUGCUUUGUCGGACUGCCAAUUGAGUGCAGCUUCUCGGAUGUCAUCCACAACAGCCUUACACCAGUUCAGAGCUGGUAAGCAAGACAGAUCUCUAGUGAGGUAAACAUCCUUGCACCUAAUGUUGUUGUCGGUGCUUGGGAACAGAAGUUUGUUGCAUGCAAUGAUAAAGAAAAAUCUUAUUGCCAUGUCAUCAGUAAUCAUGCCAGACCCUAGCUCCAGAUCAUCCUUCAGGGUCUUCUGUAGAUGGCUAGCGUUCAGGUCGUGGGAUUCUUGUAAACCCAACAAAGUCUUGAAAGCAGAUAACGCCUUGGAUGCUUGAAUGUGUGUACUCAACACAAUAUCUUCACCACCUUCUGGUAAGUCAAGCACCUGCUUUACCAUGAACGGGGGUGACAUGGAUACCCUUAUCUUUUGCAACAUUCAGUACCAUGGUUUUGGGGUCUAGCCUGUCGAACAGGAACUUUAAUAGCUCUCUGCUCUCUAACCUCUCUGCUGCAACACAAAGGAGUCCACCAAAACCCAUAUCUUUGAUUCGCCUACGCUGCCAAAGUGUUAGGUGGUCGACAAAGGAGUUAAAUGUUGAUGGUGCACAUCGAACUGUAGGUGCGUGAGCAUACUUGACGGGGUUCUUGGCAAGCUGCCAAAUGAAGAUAUGAAAAGGCUGUAGUAAGUGUGAGUGGUGGAAGAAUCGGUUCUCAUAAUGUUUAUGUAUGUAAAUGAACCACAUGUCAAAAUAUAUUAAAAUGCCACGGUUGAGCAUUGGGCAGGCUGAAUCAGGUAAUUUACCACAAAAAUUGAAAAUGAAGUAAAUUGUACCUUGAAAGUAAAAAAAGAGAAGGUUGAUUUACUAUUGUACCUUGGAAGUUGCAUUGAUACACUGUUUCUUCGCUACUGGUUGCCUGGGUGGGGGUUCCAUGAAGGCAUCAUCAUCUUCAUUAACAUCACUCCGAGGGAGAUCCCUGUCGCUGCUUGUUUCGCCGUGCAACUGUUGCCCAUUUCUGGUCGGUGGUUUGAUAAUAUUAUUUGCAAGAUUUGCAUCUUGGCCACCAGGUUGUUGAGGGGGUGCUGUUGGUUGUGGUUGUGCAUCAGCUCCUGCAACUGGCUGUGCAUCGGCUGCCCCGGUGACCGCGCUAACAUCAAAGGUCCAUUCGCCUUGUGUGGUGCGGAUCCCAAAAGAUUUUAAUCUGCCCUGAAUUUUCUUCAUGUCCUGUUUUUUAGAAAGGAAGAUAUUAUUAUCCAUGAAACAAUGUAACAUGGAUAUUUGCAUAACCUAAUGUAUCUGUCAAAACUGCAGCAGGACAAACACCCUUUGCUGGAACUUCCAGUCUAUAUCCAAUAAAUAUUAAAAUAUAUGGUUAACUUACCACAUGAUAUAUGCAGUGAACAAAAAAAUGCAGAGACGACAUGAAUAUGAAGAAGUGGUAAAUUGUAUAUAUAUUUUGCAACCUAAUGUAGCAUUGAAACAGAGCUUCCAUGCUAUAACCAGGUGAAAGUAGUGUAAGUUUUUUCAUGCAUUGCAGUAGUAAACCCACAUAAUGUAAGUAUUGAAAUCUGACUAUGAAUGUACGACAGGCCAGCGUGGAUUUACUAUAAUAUUGGUGCACACGUAAAAAAAUGGCAAAAAGAAAUUGGAGUACUGUGUAACCUGGUAAUUGGAGUACUGUGGAUUUACUAUAAUAUCUAUGCUGUAACAAUGAUGCAUCAUUAAACAAAGAUAAUAUGUACAUUAAAAUAUAUGCUGCUGGAUAAUUACCAGGUGCGUACAGAUGAAUUAGCUGGAUGUUUUGGUGAAUGUCUUGCCUCAGGAGUAGCAACGUUGGUCCAAUCAAAUCUGCAACACAAGUCAGAAGGCCAUGGUUGUCAGUUGUAUUCAGUCAUAAGUCUAUUUUGGAUUUUCCAAAAAAAAAGAAUAGCCGCUUUUGCUAACUUAGUAGAUCCAACAACCGAUUUGUAAAGAGUCUGGUAACGAUGAUUUUUCAAGUCAGAAGCUUGACAGUACGCUGAAUGAAUUGAACUGACGAUCAGUGAGAUAUAUAUAGAAAAACUGAUCCGGAUAUCACCCUAAUGCAUCCCUUUUGUCUUCAUGGUAGUAGGUGUCCUGUCAGCAAUGUCAAUUAACCAUAUUCAGUAGCACUACUAACCGCCCAUGCGGUCCACACACACACACACACCUCUGGUAAUUUACUACAAGAACAGUUAGUUUACUGUAGCAAUGAUGCAUCAUCUCAAAAUACAUUAUGUACCUGAAAUAUGUGCUGCAGGGUAAUGUCCGAUACACUAGGCCAUUGUGUCUGAUCAACAAACGUUGCAAACACCAAAGGGACCCGAAAUGUCUGCGAAAAAAUACAAGUGACAACAUCAUAACCAGAUAGUACUGAAAAGGCAUUCGUUGUUAGCAUUCCACUAUUACCUACAGAAAGGUUAUGCCUCAGGCUCUCAUCACAUAGCCCAGACCCAUGGUUUGGAAAUUCAAGGAACUGCCUGAUUGAAGGAACUGGUUUGGGUUACUGGAUCAUUUGAUUCGAUUACACCAAAAUUCUGCCAAAUUCCGGAUGUAUACUGACGCAAUGAUGCAAACCCAAACGAGCAUCAGAACUAAUGGAAUGAGAGAGGGGGGAAUUGCGAGGGGCUUACCGAGGGGAGGCUCCUGGUGCGCUAGCGAAUGGGAUCGUCUCCGGCCGUCCAGCGGCGCGCCUGGUGCGCGACGGCAGCGGCGCGUCUGGUGGCGACGGAAGCGGGGCGUGGUGGCGACAGAAGCCGGCGAAGGCAGCAGUGACGAAAGCGGGCGCGUCUGGUGGCGACGGACACCGGCGACGGAAGGGCGCGAUGGAAAAAAGGCGUGAUUUCAGAGAACAUCAAAUCGGGAUUUGCGGUAGGGAUUGAUUUGGGCGCGAUUUCGGGCGGUGCAUCCUGGGAGCAAAAUCCCCUCCGAAGCGAUCUGCUGGGAACGGGAAUCGAGCGGUGGGGGCUGCGAGCCAUGGAAGGCGAGCCGCGCGGGAAGAGGAGCCGUGUAAUGCGAGCCGUGCAGGAACCGGUGCCAGGAAUAGUUGUGUUGGUGCGCCUGGUGGGAUGGUCCGGCCAUAGAAUUGGUUAUUCUGUUGCUGGCUCUUGAGAAACAUAUCUAUAUCUAUCUAUCUAUAUAUAUAUAUAUAUAUAUAUAUAUAUAUAUAUAUAUUCUGAAAAUGAAAAGCAUUUCUAGAAGCCGGCGAUGGCAUCACCCGCUCCCAAAAAUUAUUUAUAGGGGAGGGUGAUCCGCCUAACAUCCGACUUGAAAGUAAAGUACGAUGAAAAAGUAGAUUUGUUGUAUUGAUUGAUGUGUCUUUACAAAUCUCUGAAGAUGGCUAUUUAUAGCCUGUUACAACUAAUUUUCUAACCGACUAGGAUCUAUCUCUAAUUUUAAACAAAAAUGAAUAUUUACAAACAGAACUCGUACCGGAGUUGGUUAUCAUACUCCCACGGGCCAAUCUUUCUCUAUCUUCUUUUUCUGGCCCACCUUAAGCCCAUAUUGGCCCAAUCGCUCCAGCCUUCCAAUCGGCCGAUCCCCACCAACUCCGUCUGCCAAUCGCUCCAAACACUGUAGUGCCAAUCGGCCGAGUCCCAACUGUAGCGCCAAUCAGCCGAUUCCCAAUCGUAACCUUUUAAUCUGCCACAUCGGCCAAUCCUUUCCUCUCUUGAUAUCGAUCCAAAACGUGUCAAAAUCUGGCGUCAACACAUGCCCCCUAGUUUCGGAGUAAAACAUAACUUUUUACUUCAAAAUUCUUCUUUAACUUCCUCUCCAAAACAAACGCGGCAAAAAUCCCCUUCUGUUUCGCGGUCUUCUACCUGAUGAUUGCAAUCUCUUCGAACUGGGCACCUAAGACAACCGUUCUCCCGAAUAUCGUGUAGACGGCGUGGUAAAAAUCCUACCUUUACCCCUUCUCUCGGACCGUCUUUAAAUACCAGCGUUCUCUUUCUCUCCGGCGAAUCACUUUCUAUCUUCUCCUAGCGCCCCUUUCAUUUCCAGUCGCAUUCUCCAGCGAUCAUUCUUUCGUCUACAUCCCGCUUCAUUUUUUCUCAAUGGCGGCGCCAUCGGCAACUCCACCUGCAACGGAGGCUCCACCGGCAACUCCAUCAGCGACGGCAGUUCCAUCGGCGAUCGCAUCAGCAACGAUAAGCUUCAUUCCAGAGGUAAACAUCCGAAACUUUUCCUUUUUACUUUUUACCGCCCAUGUUUGUUUUAGAUCUAGUCUUAGUUCUUUCUCUUUUUGCCUUCCUUAGGCGGUCAGACAACAAAUCACCAUCCGCCUUUCCGACGCACCUGGUCUGAUCUGCUUAGGUCCUAUGGAGAACCCAGACCCGACUGAUCUGAUCAAUUUAGAAACCCAUAGAAUCCCUUUUAAGCAAUCACCUAUGGAUUUGAGCCAGUGGUCAGGCACUUCUAGAUCUUGGCCGAAUGAAACACCCGGCUGGAAAGAAUGGUAUCAAAGAAUGGCCAACUCCAAGAGAGUUCAAUGGGAUGAAUUAAAAAUAGGCUAGUGCAUCAAUCUAUCUUUGUCCCAGAUGGAGAAGAAUGAACCCUUGGUGAUAGCAGCUUCUUACUUUUGGUCUGACACACUCAAUGCGUUUCUCUUUGGGCACGGACCCAUGACCCCAACUCUGGCCGAUGUUCUGAUGUUGACCGGCCUCGAUAUUUCCUCCCCCGACACACCCUUUAAUAAUCUGAUCAAGCGGACCCAUCGGCUUUUCUGCAGCAGAGCAGUCGGCCCUUCCUCCAACACACAAGCUCUGGCCGAAGCCCUGGCAAGGGGAUCCACCAUCCCUCUAGGGAAACACUUGUUAGGAUGGGCCUAUCAUAUGAUGCACCAGAUCGGUGUCAAACUGUCAAAGGGUGAGCCGAUUGGUAAUCCUGGUGGUCCCUGGUGGUUCAUCACCCUCUGGCUCAACUUGUACAUGAGCAAGGUCUUCCAGCAGCAGAUAGAAACCAAGACAUUCCCCAACAUUGAGUCAGAGGAAAACCCCAUAGUACAACGACGGUGCACCUCUUUCGGCGAAGCGGCAUCGGCUUUCCCUGGUUGCUAGUUCACCCCCACCCAAACAGCUGAAUAUUUCAGAUGCUUCUACAACGGCUUUAGUGAAGAGACUACAAGUUGGUACCCAUACCAGAGAACGGAGCCUAUAUUUGAGCUGCCCUUCUGCUAUGACUUGACGUCCAACUCCUUUGACAAUGACCUCACAGAUGCCUUGAUUAAACUAGGGAUCUUACCAGCGAACUUCUUUUCUGGGAAGGACUCCCCAGCUUAUGAAUUUUAUAACCCGUCAGUUGCAGCACGGCAGUUUGGGCUUGGUCAGUUGCCGAUUCGGGUUUACUUUGCCGGCCGCGCAAAAUUUCGAGAUGCACUUACUAAGGGCCUCGACUAUAAUCGGUUGUGCGAUUUAGUACCUGAUUCCAGUACCAUUAAUCUGAACAAUUGGGUAGUGGUGGGCAGAAUGGAAGCAGCAUCUCUUUUGUGUAUCCCCUGCAACAUAUUGCAAUGAUCUGGAUCCUGACAACAUCAACCAAAACACAGCGGUACUGCUCUCUUCUUAGCCGAUUUCAAUGUCAUUCCCUUUUAUGCUACAAAUUUAUCACUAACUUUUAUCUCCUUUUUUUUGUCUAGAAGUCGACUUCCCCCAACGCGCAGCUGAAGUGGCAGACCAAUAGAAAACUGUUAUCCAUAUACAAUAUUUCCACUUAUCGGCUCUCAUGCCCCAACCAUUGGAGACAUCACCACUGGCCGAUCGAAACAGACGCUGAAGAUAACCUCUUCAAAGAAAACGAGCCGCUGGGUGCGUGCCCGCAUAGAAUCGGCCGAUCCAUCGGCGGUGGCAUCGUCUGAAUCCUUGGCUGCACCGACCCCACCGAUUGUCAAAGAAGUUGAUCCCCAGGCUGCUACAGAAGCUGGAGCAGCUGCUGCAUCAUUGUUGGUAGAAGCUAUUCAGGUAACUCCGUACACCUUGCAUUUUUCUAAGUAUCUUGUCGGUAUUAAUUUCUUCCUUCUGUUAGGCAGUGCUAAUCGCCCCAGUACAAUCUCCGCAGCAAUCGGCCACAUUCCAGGCAGAGGCCGGGACGCCAGCAAUCUCCCCUACUGAGGUAGAGAAAAUCUGUUCAAAUCAAAUUUCUCAAUCCUUAAUCAAAGAUUUAACCGACUUAUGAUGCAGGCUACCCUGGAUACAUCAAUCGUAUCCUUUCAACAGCCAACGGCCGAACGACUCACGGAGGUAUAGUAAUCGUUAUUUGUCAUCAGUCUUAAUCACUUGCCUCAUACUUAUACAGAUCUGCCUCUUGAUCCUUUCCAGGAAGCCGGCCUGAGCACGGCACCGAUAAUCGUCGAAUCCUCUUCCUCUAAUGAACCAGUCACGCCAAUUCCCGAGAUGAGGGUAGCACUCCCACCGGCGCAAGCAGAAGAGAUUCGUUUUAAAGAGGUAAGAAACUUGACACCCAAAUCGGCCGAUUUCCUAUUACCGGCGGCUAAUCCAUAUUUUUAUUAUUUAUUCUUUCUCAGGAGCAAGAUACUCCCAACAAUAGUCUCUUUUAUUUUGCGGUUGCACUUUAUGAUGAUGAAGAGGUUGCCUCACACCAAGUCGCACUGAGCUCGAUCCCUGAUGAUGUCCGUGCCAAACUUGAGAGCAUACGGACCCUCCUCCAAGACGAUAUCGGCCGACUAGUGGAAGACGCCUCGCCGAUUCAGCAGCUUCUCAGCGAAAUCAGAGGCCGAGUUCCAGAAGAGGCAGAAGAGGCUCUGGCACCCGCCACAUACAUUGAGUCAAUACGGAUUCCAGUGUUCAGGGCCUUGCGCCACAUGGCCGAUCGCGCCAAAUUAGCGAAAGCCCGCGAGGAGGAAGAUUCCUACAAACAUCGAGCGCAAGAGGUACAUCAACGAAUCAGCUUCCUUGAAAGCUCUCGCCCAGAUAUUGUUGGCACCAUAGAUCGCCUUAAACGGCGAAGGGCAGAGCUUGCCAAGGAGAUGGAGUAGGUGACCAAGGCCAUAGCCGCCGAAGAGAAGAGACUCCAAGACCUCCCAUCGGUCACGUCGAGCUGAAGCAGGAGAGGCAGAACCUGGCCCAUGAAGCAAUCAAACUUCACCGUCAUAUGCCAGAAGUUCCUGGAUCGGCUGAUGACGACUAGAGGACUUUAGACUCGGCUGAUCAGGUUAGGCAGCAAGCAAUUGUAGCCAUUAAUGCCCUCCUUGGGUGAAUUGUAAAAACACUGAAUGCUCUGUGUAAACAUUUAAUGUUCUUUUGCCGUUGACGUGCGGAUUCAAACUUGGACCAUCCUCUAUGGCAGCUUCUUCAUUAAAUUACCUUUUACUCAGAUGGGACGCGUCUUACCAACCCUUCAUCUUUUCUUUCUAUAAGUAUGAGACUUUCGUAUUGCUUUCCAAAGGCAUUCACACCUCGCCCAUCCUCUUGACUCCCACACUCUUAGACUAAGCAUCGAGAUGUCUUCUCCUUCUUCUUCCUUCUCCGUCGACCAGGUGCGAAAUCCCCCACUAUUCCCUCGCCUGACAUUUAAAUCAAUCUGGUGACGAGUAGUUUUUGUUUUGCUAUUUUUUCAGCCGAGACGCCUUAGUCCUGGCCUGGAACGAGCCAUCGAGGUUAUGCACUCGGACGAACCGCUGACGCAGGCGGAUAGAGAUCUGAUCAGGACUUAUCACGAAAAACUCAAGGAUCAUAUCCCUCCUCAUGUCCAAAAGAUCAUGGACCAUAUGGACGCCAACUGCUCCGGGCGGCCACUGACUGAAAGGAGUCAUCCGUUUCCUCGUUAGGUCACCUUUGAGGAUACCAUGGCAGGGACAUCCCGACCGUUGGUCGACAGAAGCCACCAACCUCCUCGUCAAGUUGAGGUUGAAGCCGCCAUGGAGGAUCGAGAGGUAGAUUAAGAAAAAAUGUGGUCAAUGAAUGUAUUGGUACUUUUUAAUCUAAGGGCGACUUGUACCGUGUCGGCCAUGUAUCCUAUUGCUUGUACCGAAUAAUAAAUCGGCCAGACUAAUCAAAUGUUUUGUCCUCAAGGCGAUGUUAUCUUUGCAUCGGCUAUAUAAACACGAGUCAAUAGGAGUCGGCCACAUCUCGACACUCCAUAUCGUCGGUUAUGCAUCUACCCAUAUGCUGGGGUAAUACCUCUUUAGAUAUCUUCCAUUUAAAGCUCUUGUGAAUUCCUCUCCUUCGAUAGUUUCCAGUAUGUAUGCAUUUCCCGGGGCGCAUCAGCCGAUUUUAUACAGCCCCUCCCAAGUAGGUUACCAUUUACCGAAUUUGGGAUCAUUAGAUCCUAUCGACAGCACCAACUUCCAUACCAAAUCCCCUUGGGCGAAUUGCUUGACUUUGACCUUCUUGUCAUACCACCUGGCCACUCUCUUCUUAUUUUCCUCAAUGCUGAUCAGGGCCCUUAAACGCUGACCCGCCAAAUCGUUGAGCUCCCCUUUCAUGAGGAGGGAAUAAUCAUCGGCCGUCAACUGAUCCUGAAGCGAUGUGCGCCUUGACCCCGUCCUUAAUUCCUAAGGUAAUACUGCCUCGUGACCAUAUACCAACUGAUAAAGAGAUGUUUUAGUGGCCUCGUGGCAGGCCAUCCUGUAAGCCCAUAAAGAUUCAGUUAAAGAUAGGUGCCACUUCUUAGGUUGUUCUUCUAUCUUCCUCUUGAUCAACUUGAUUAUCCCCUUAUUGGACGAUUCGGCCUGACCGUUAGCUUGGGCAUAAUAUGGAGAAGAAUUCAACAAUUUAAUCCCCAUAUCGGCGGUGAACUCUUCAAACUCUCCUGAGGUGAACAUCGUCCCUUGAUCAGUCAUGAUGGUUUGAGGGAUACCGAACUAAUAAACAAUAUGGUCCCUUAUGAAAUCGACCACAGCGGCCGAUGUCACAGCCUUCAUGUUGGGAUACGAGGUAGGCUACACUAGCGCAAAUCAAAAAAUUUCUACCGCGUAAACAAGGAAAACUAUUGUAUAAGGAUCACGGGAUUACCACUCGACGCACUGGUGCGGAAGAAGUAGAAUCGUGUCGGGGCAGCGAAGUCGAUCAGCGUAGUCGAACAUAGUCGAUCACGUCGAUGUCGAGCAGCUCCUCAGCAGCUCGUCCACGUGCAGCAAGAUCGUCUUCGUGCCGCGGCUCAUCGUCGGCUCAUCAUGGCUCGUCGGCAGCUCGUCGUGGCUCGUCGGCGGCUCAUCCAAGUGCUGCAAGCGCAACACCUCCAAGGUAUCCACACGUGCAGGGAGGAAGCGUCGCAAGCCGGACUGCUAGGUCUGCGAGUUGUAACACGCGAGGGCGUGGGAGACGCGGCAGAUGUGUUUCGCCAAAAGGUAUAAACCCUAGGGCACCCCCACCCCUCUAUUUAUAGAGGUUCCUGACGGGCCUCUGGGUCCGAGGCCCAUUAGUACUUCUAAACCUAGUCCAACUCGGAUCAUAUCCGAAUUGGGCUUCAAGCCCCUUAAGUGUAUGACCCUAUGGGUUCGGAUACGUAUAGACAUGGCCCGAGUACUCCUACUCGGUCCAAUAGUCGAUAGCGGCCUCUAGCAAGACGUGCAACCUCCCAUACACACACAAAGAUCAUAUCAGACAAACCGUCACAACAUUAUGUACAUGCUAUUCCCUUUGCCUCACGAUAUUUGGUCUAGCUCCAAGCCGACCGCUCUUUCUCGAUCCUGUGAUUCGGAAUUCCUUUGUAGGUUAACUCUUAACCGUACGUAGCAUGGCCAUGCAUUUUCGGAUCCGAUCACUCGAGGGGCCCAGAGAUAUCACUCUCAAUCAAAGAGGGCCAAAUCCCAUCUUGAUUGACCAUGUCUCACAGCAUGCUUCUUGACAAACCCAAAAGCUACCUUUUUAACUACCCUAUCAUGGUGUAGCGUUUGAUAGCCCCUAAGUAAGUCGAUCCAUAUCUUGAGUACAUGCGACAAUCUCAGGUCUAAGGGCAAAGCGUACAUGUUGUGUAAAGAGAGAACUACUUCUUGUGUUGGGUCAGUCCUAACACAUGUCUCCACAUGUGCCCACAUUAUUAGUUUAACAUCUCCAUGUCCAUGACUUGUGAAACAUAAUCAUCAACUAAUACAUGUGCUAGUCUAAUAUUCAUGUGUAUCCUCACAUGAACUCCGACUAAGGACAACUUUAGAAUAACCAUACAAGUAAAGAGUUUCACAUACAAUUCACAUAAUUGCAAAUCAAUUCAAGUAGCCUUUAAUGGAUAUUCAAUGAACACAAUAUACAAAUCAUGGAUACAAAUGGAAUAUCAUCAUCUCUAUGAUUGCCUCUAGGGCAUACCUCCAACAGUCUCCCACUUGCACUAGAGUCAAUCUAGAAGGUAUCUAAUACCCAUAGCUCUUACAUGCGCAUCAUGCUUAGCCUGCGGGAGUGGUUUUGUCAACGGAUCAGAAAUAUUCAGAUCCGUGUGUAUUUUGCAUGUCUAGGCGUGGUGGAGUAGUUUUACCACCGGUCGGUUAAGUCUUGUUGAGCUCAGCAGCUCAGCCUUGUUUGUGGCUCUCUUUUCAGGUGAAGUCGCAGCUCCUGAGUUUGCUCCUGUUGGCACUUGGCCACCCCAGCUCCCUCCAGGUUGGAUGGUCGAGUGGGAUCCCUCCUCGGACGGCGAGGAAAGGGAUCACUGAUGUCCUGAUCGGCCUCAUCAGGGACAUCCGACCCCGGCGCUAGCUUCGACUAUUUUACCUUUCCGCUGCUUUUUUAUCUUGUAAAACUCUAACUUUUGUUUUGAUGUUGAACUAAAUUGUCAAACUUGUUUAACUCGGUGCAUCUAUUGUAUUCUCUGGAACACUUCACUUUCGUGUGAGUUUUGCUAACUCGGUCCUGUUAAGUGGUUUAAUCGGAGGAAAUCCGACGGCACCUUGAGUUAACUCGAUUAAGGCAUGAGUGUCGCGUGUCAGACGACUUAACCGUGCUUUAAUCAAGGUAAUCCGAGGUGGUUCCGCCACAGCUUCUUGAUGUCAACUUCUGCUGUCUUGAGCAUACCACACAGUUCAUUCAGACCCUUCUCCGUCCCAUGCAUAUGAUAGUUCGAGAUGAUGUUCCCAUAGCUAGGUGGAAGAGAUGAAAGAAUGAAGUCAGUGGCCAACUCUUUGCCCAUUGGGAAGCCAAGCUUCUCCAAUCGCUGAGUGUAACCAACCAUCUUUAUUACAUGUGGUCCUACUGCUGAGCCUUCUGCUAGCUUGCACUCCAGAAAGGCUUUGGACACAUUGAACCUUUCAGUCCUAGCCUGUGUCUAGAACAUGUCCUUGAGCACCAUGAUCAUAUCGUGCACCUCAUGGUUUGUUUCAAACUGCAUCUGCAGCUCGAGUUCCAUGCAAGCAAGCAUAAGGCAGCUUACUUCAAGAUUAGCAUCAAAUGCCUUCUUGUAAGCAGCCUUAACGGCAGCAGAUGCAUCAUCAGCAAGUACUUGUGGUAGUGGGGUGUCUAGAACAUCUUCUUUUUUAUCGGCCCUGAGAACAAUUCUCAGGUUACGGAUCCAAUCCGAGUAGUUUGUUCCCUUCAACUUGUCCUUCUCAAGGACCGACCGCAAAGCAAAUGGUGUGGUGUUGCUAGGUGCCAUUUAAUCUACAACAAAAGUAAUGCAAAAUACACUAAGACAAACAUAUCCAUGAUAGAGCAAAUGAUAUUAAACUAUUUAACAGAAUCUACUCCCACUAAAAUCAAUAUCCCUCUAUUGAUACUUGGUGAUUCAAGAUCCACAACUAACAAGUCUACUAGUGAGCUUUAGCAUCACCGCUAGCAAACAAGGUAGAUCAGUAAGCAACUUCUUGCUAAUCAUAUCACAUAUGACUCCUAUUGUUGGGUGACAUCUCCAUGUCUCGGCGCCCAACCUUUAUGCCCCAAGGUCCUUAACCGUUAAGAUAACCUUGUUAAGCAAACCAACUUUUAUGCGUGUAAGUGUCCACCAAUUGUACAAGACAUGGGACGGUGCAAGUUUUAGUUGGGAGGGCAUACUAACUUAAACUUUGUGAGGGAUCGUUCUACUUCUAACAUCACAGCAUGCAGAAAGUAAAACAUAAAGAAUAGCAUUCACACGGUUGUGACACAGUAUUGCCCGUUUUCUUAUGGUGAUCUCCAUCUCCACAGAACCUAUUCACCAUGGUGAUCUCCAUCUUCAUGUUCCAUGUGCGCCGCUUCUCUUAGCCGAUUCCGAUGUCAGUACCUUGGUUUGAAGCACGUUUCUUCCCGCAUCAACCAUGUUAGUAGGGAAAGGAUGCCGAUCAAUCUUCAUUGGCUUUGCUGGCUUCGCCAGGACUUCGAAUUUGAGUCUGCCUUGCUCAAUGGCUGACUGUAUCUGCUGACGGAAGAUUUUGCAUUCGUUUGUGUCGUGAGACGUGGCAUUGUGCCACUUGCAAUAUUUCAUCUUUUUGAGCUGCUCGGCCGAUGGAAUGGUGUGGUAAGGUGAGAGCUUGAUCUGCCCCUCUUGGAGAAGUAAAUCGAAGAUCUUGUCGGCCUUUGACGUGUCAAAACCGAACACUUCUGGUUCUUUCUUCCCGAACGGGCGUGAUAUCGGCGUUUUCCCUUUUACCCAUUCUACUAGGCCGAUUUCCGCUUCCUCUUCAGACUCAGAUCCUUCCAAGUAUACCACCUUCUUCUGAAAAUUCCUCCGUUGGUCGAAAGGGCGUAUUUCUUGACCGGCCAAUCGGUGGAGAUUUGACUUAAGUUGUCAAACCCCUGGAGGCUUACUUCUCUUUGAUGUGUGGCAGGAGACCUUGGAAGGCGAUAUCGGCCAGCUGAGCGUCGGUCAGAACUAGGGUGUAGCAUUUGUUUCUGACCUCUCUGAACCUUUGCACGUAAUUGGUCACUAGUUCGUCGCUCCUCUGCCUGAGGCUGGUCAAAUCUGAGAGCUUCAUCUCGUGGACUCCCGUGUAGAAGUACUUAUGGAACUGCUUCUCCAGAUCGGCCCAAGUAACAAUGGAAUUGGAUGGUAGCGUAGUGAACCAUUGGAAAGCCAACCCGGAUAGGGAUGACGAGAACAGUCGUACCCGCAGAGCAUCUUGUGUGGCGGCCUCUCCGCAUUGGAUGAUGAAUCUAUUUACGUGCUCCACAGUUGAGGUGUCAUCCAGUCCCGAAAACUUGGUGAAGUCAGGAAUUUUGUACCGAUAGGGAAACGGCAGUAGAUCGUAGGCAGGUGGGUAUGGCGUCUUGUACGUAUAGGUUUGUACCUUCGGCUUCAACCCGAAUUGGUCUUGAAUCACCUCCGCUAUCCUUGUUGUCCAAUCCACUUGCUGCUGAUGAACAACUGGUUGAGGGAUCAGCACAUGUUGAUGGAUCGGCAGCGGGAUGGCCGGGUGAUGGAUCAAAGCGUGCGGCGGAUUUUGUGGCAGCGUGGCCGGCUAAGCAGUUGACAGUUGGUGGCGUAGCGAAUCUGCCGUUCUAUCGUACAACAUCAUUGGCGCCGCGCUUCUGAGUGUUUCCGUAGUGUCUGCUCCCCUGCCGAUCUCUGAUGAGGCCGGUUGAUAUUGUGGGACCGUCGGCCGGAUAGCCGAUUGGAAUGGUGCUUGAAUCGGAGAGCUUCCGUAACCGGUUGAUUGGUCCAAACCAGCCACCAUCGCUGGUGCCCCCCACGGUACUGAGUUUGAGGGCAGUGAUUGCAUGGGGAAAACCUGGGUAGGCUGAGGCGGCGCUUGCGAGUGAAAGCAUGGCGCGCCGUUGUAUCCUGGAGGCAUUGAAGUGUUGUAUCCUCUAUGUUGCAUUGGUAUCGGCUGAGGAGCUGAGUGAGAUAUGCCUGGUAGGCUUCUGACUGGAGCUACAAUGGGCGGUACGCCGGCCCCUAAUACCCCUAUGCUACUCCGCUGACCAGGGAACUGAUGACGGCAUUGUUUACCGUGUUGGUCAUCACUGAAGAUUGGUCGAUGAAAGCCUGGUAGACGGACUGCUGAAUCAUAUCGGACAUCUUGCCCGAGUCCUCAGCGAUGGUGAUUAGGCGGGGAGUUGGACGAGGAGCUUUCUUGAUGGUUUCCCCACUUCUGGUACGACUGAAAGAUUGCAAGCAUGUCUUCCUUUAUUCUUCUAGGUGUCUUGCCAAUUCUUCUUUCUGGUCGUCCUUGAGAUCUGUUUCUGUAACCUCGAUGACGUUGUCUUCGGAGAUUUCAGCGGCUUUUGACAUGUUGGAUGUUGUGUUGGUCCCACCAAGCAUGCCAAAAGUGUGUUGGCGCUAAAAACCAGCCGACGGUCUUCAGCGUCGGACACACGACCUGGGAGAAUCUGCUUAACUCCUGUUCCGGUUAUCGCCCUGGUGCGGUUCACGCGGUGUGCCAGUCAAUCUGACCUGUUGAUUGACAAGGAAAUAAAGAUAUGAAAUUCUAGGGGCUACGAUCAGCUAGAGUUCUGAUUUGCUUUUAAAGCGAGUCGGCGAAUCGGCCGAUUCACUGCAGAGAUAAUCGGCUUAGUAGAAUAGCCGAUACCACGUAGUGAUUGCGAAGUAAAACCACUAGAGCAGACCAACAACGCUACAAAUGCAACACUUGAAAUAAAUCUAAUCGGCUAUAUGGCGAUAAAUAAGAAUAACAAUAAUGAAGUCGACAGUUCAAAUCUCAAGCUGGAUAACUGGUGAUAAAAACUAGAGCAAUAGAUAGAACCUAUAAUUCUAGUUAAUAUCGAUAACUGGUGAAUAAAUCUAAACGAAACAAUAGCGAUGCGCCCGAAGUUAAAGCUUAGAUAUUACUCGAUAAGCGGAACUUACAGAAUCGGCCGGAGAUCGUGUCGAUGCAGCCCUGCCAACCCGUAUGAACUCAUGAAAGAAAAAAUGUAUUGGCGAAGUCGCCGACUUGAAAGUAAAGUACGAUGAAAAAGUAGAUUUGUUGUAUUGAUUGAUGUGUCUUUACAAAUCUCUGAAGAUGGCUAUUGAUAGCGUGUUACAACUAAUUUCCUAACCGACUAGGAUCUAUCUCUAAUUUUAAACGAAAACGAAUAUUUACAAACACAACUCGUAUCGGAGCUGGUUAUCAUACUCCCACGGGUCAAUCUUUCUCUAUCUUCUUUUUCUGGCCCACCUUAAGCCCAUAUUGGCCCAAUCGCUCCAGCCUUCCAAUCGGCCGAUCCCCACCAACUCCAUCUGCCAAUCGCUCGAAACACUGUAGCGUCAAUCGGCCGAUUCCCAAUCGUAACCUUUUAAUCUGCCGCAUCGGCCGAUCCUUUCCUCUCUUGACGUCAAUCCAAAACGUGUCAAAAUCUGGCGUCAACAGAAUGAUAUAGUGUAACCGGGAUAAAAUUUAGGAAACAAACUUUUGCAUAGAGAUAAAGGUAUAGAAUUAUUACAAGCCUAGCAUGUCUUGCAUGUCUCGGUACUCCAUCGGAUCUUUCGUCAAUAAAUCAAAGACAGUAACGUGGCUUCUUUCAGACUCAAUUAUAAUGAGGAUCCAGUGGAAACUGCGUACGUAAAUGUUCAUACAUAUUACAGCUAACUAACAUUAAUCAGGUAAGGAAAAAGAAAACGAAAGUAGACGGUAUACACACACUUACUUGAAGUUGUAUGGAAGUAGUAUGAAAUCCUUGAAUUUUUGUUUGUCUAGGAAAUUGUAUACUUCCACCAAGGUUUUUUCCGGCGAUACCUGUAUCUGUUUUUGGUUCACUAUGGAUGGAUCCAUGAAGCCAAUAUGGAGGUACGCUUCUUGUCGGCACGUCUAAAUUAGCAUCCUACAUAAAAUGGAAGACAAAGUUAGUACGGUAAUGCACGCAAAAAAAUAAUGAUAUGAGCCAAAAUUUACAUGUAGAUAAACAGACACUUACAGAACCCAGGCGCCGAUCAAAGAGACGUCCAGGGCAUCAUGAUGGUACACUUUGUAUAUAUCCUUGAAUUCUAGCCACAGAACUUUCUCGCCUUCGCUGUAAAAAUCUAUCAGUUUUACCUUAAGGCCGAACAUCUCCCUCAAGUCGGCGGAUACCUUCAUGUACCAUUGAUGGAAUUUGUACAUAUUUGUUGAAAGCUUCCGUACCAACUCAGGCCUUACUAGAGACUUGCCUAGCUCAAAGGUCCAUCUCGGUUCAACUGGCGGUGCAGCUGGCGGCUCAACUUGCCCUAGACAUUCAUCAAGUCCCAUACCUGUUUCUUCCAUGAAUUUCAAUACUUGUGCUUGUUGAUCCAAGGGCAUUGCUGCUAUCUUUUCAGCGUCUUUCUCUGGUAGAUGCCCGAGGUCGGGGACAACACCAUUGGAAGAUGACUUUCCUUUCCUUUUGUCCCUCUCAUCAGCCUCGACUAACGCCCAUUCGUAGUUCAAUAGUAGUGGUAUCCUCUUCUUGGCUCCUUCUUCCAUCCUGAUAAAAAAACUUAGUUCUCUUCGUUUUACUGACGGUGGCUCUAUCUCCCUUGCCUUUUUUUCGGCUUGUUUCUUGAACCACUCACUGGCCUCUGCUUGGAUUUCGGCCCACUGUUCCGCAUGAGUCAUUGCCUCCCAACGUUCCUUAUGAGUCACUUCAGGCUCCUUUCUUUUCUUCUUUCUCUAUCUUGGCUUGGGAGGCAGUGGUCGCGACUUCUUAAGUGGUGCUGCAGGUUCCUUCCUCGGGGCUGCGCUUAGUCCCGGCGACGGUGAUCGGGGAGGGGUGUUGUUAUUGUCGUCGUCGCUCCCACCACCAGGAUGUGGUGGAGAUAGAGACCUUGAUCAAGCAGGAAGCGACGGUCCUGAAGCAGGUUGUGCUGGAGAUGACGGUCUUGAGCUUUGAGAAAAUGGUCGCUACUGGGGAUCUGCGGGCCGAUAGAUUAGAUGCUUCACUAUCGACGGUCACCUAGGUAAGAUAUGUAUAUACGAAUGCACCACGUCAAAUGGAUGGAAGUAAAUAAGCGAAAAUAAGAAUGCCCGUCGUCAGUGCUUGCCGCUCUGCCAUCGUACAAGUUCAACGUGGGCGCUAGUGAGUCCAGAUGCAAUGCAAGGUGCUGCGAUCCAACAGAUAGACUGGUGUUACAAAUCCUAUUUGGCAGUGAUCAAAAGUUGCAAACAGCCAAGUUUUCGUGGUCAGGCAUCUGACUGGCACAUCAUAAGCUUGUCCUGUUGUUUUUUUUUUCGAAUAAGCUUGUCCUGGUUGCUCAGCUCAUAAUUCAGGAAUUGAUGCUUGACAGUGAGUGUCAUCGUGUGAGCUGUCGGUAAUAGUGUUGCUCGAUUUGAGGGCUUGUACAUGCUCCACGUGCAAUGCAGGUCAAAAGAAAAAAAAAAUUGUGCUAGCAACAAUAGCCUUUGUACAUGUUUUGUCUGCGGCGGGAUGUACGGUAGGGCGCCCGUGUGUGAGCACAUGCAAAUGCCUCCCCUUGGAUCCGACUGGUAGAUUUCUGUACUAACCACUGAUGGCAACAUCAUAGCGCGUGAACCACGAGGGCAGGAACAGUGACCUGGCCAAGUAAGGUGGGCGCUCAGACAUCGUGCAUUAAGUCUGAGGUGACGACUCUCUGCUUUAUUCCUGUUCGAUUGAAUUUUCAAAGAGAUUAUUUGAGGCCUCGUUGGGUUCCUCUGACUUAUUUUUAGCACUCGUUACAUCGAAUGUUUAGAUACUAAUUAGGAGUAUUAAACGUAGACUAUUUACAAAACUCAUUACAUAAGUGGAGGCUAAAUGGCGAGACGAAUCUAUUAAGCCUAAUUAGGCUAAAUGGCGAGACGAAUCUAUUAAGCCUAAUUAAUCCAUGAUUUGACAAUGGUCUGGUUUGGUUCGGUUGCUUAUUUUUAAGCACCCGUCAUAUCGAAUGUUUAGAUACUAAUUAGGAGUAUUAAACGUAGACUAUUUACAAAAUCCAUUACAUAAGCGGAGGCUAAACGGCGAGACGAAUCUAUUAAGCCUAAUUAGUCCAUGAUUUGACAAUGUGUUGCUACAGUAAACAUUUGCUAAUGAUGGAUUAAUUAGGCUUAAUAGGUUCGUCUCGCCGUUUAGCCUCCACUUAUGUAAUGGGUUUUGUAAAUAGCCUAUGUUUAAUACUCCUAAUUAGUAUCUAAACAUUUGAUGUGACACUUGCUAAAAAUAAGCAAAGGGAACCAAACGCCCCCAAUGUGUUGCUACAGUAAACAUUUGCUAAUGAUGGAUUAAUUAGGCUUAAUAGAUUCGUCUUGCCGUUUAGCCUCCACUUAUGUAAUGGGUUUCAUAAAUAGUCUACGUUUAAUACUCCUAAUUAGUAUCUAAACAUUCGAUGUGACACGUGCUAAAAAUAAGCAAAGGGAACCAAACGCCUCCUAAGUUCGUUCAACUUCUACAGUGGUUCAUUUCACGCGUAAAUUCAGGCCCCUGGUUGGACCUCGAGUAAACUUAGAAUGAACCACUUGAUAAGUUGAAGGACCCAUAUGGGAAUGCUGAAAUAGUUUAAGAACCCAUGAUGCAUGCAUUUCACUCUUUCUUUCAACAGUUAAAUAUGCAUCCAUCGGCCAUGCCUGGAUUUAUUACAUAAUGUAGCAUUUCUCAUCUAACUAUUACCGUAAGGUUUCCAUACACUGCACAAGACAAACCUUCAUGAACUCUUGAUUGCUUUUUGAAACGCUGAAUGCACGAUCGUUAUUAACAAUGAGAUAUUUGUUAGUUCUGGUGCUAACAAGUAGGCCUAACCAUGAUACAGACCCAAGCAGGAGAUAAAAGGAAUAAGAAAAAUAGAAGAAAUGGGUAUUUCCUAUUGGCAUAAAUUCAGAUAGCUGAAGCAAAAGAUAUGUUAACCCUGAAUAAACAAUGAUAAUAAAUUAUGCUAAGCAACCAAAAAUUAUAUGCAGCAGCAUGAAUGUAACAUACAAAAUAUAACAUAUUCUUUGAAUUUAAUUUAGAAAACAAUUAUUUUACUACACUAAAUAUCUUGAUAAUACUAUAAUUUUUCUAGAAUUAAAUAAAACUAGAAAAUAUUGCUUUAAUUUACCGUUAUCAUUCACAUUCCAAAAUAAUAAAUUUUGGGGUGUGACACUAACACAUCUGACGUUGCUGCAAAUUAUGAUAAUGAUGCACCAUGUUAUUCAUUGCUUUGCAGAGAUAUUUUCUUUUGACAUGGUCCUAUAUAUGUCUUGCCAUUUGCUUCCUGCUGUCACCAACCUUGUUUAGGAAUGGAAUGAUGAGAUGGAGUUGAGAGGACGAUUGCAAUUCAAGAAGGGGAGGAUGAUGAAAACGUGAACACACUGGCUGCGAACGAUCCUGCGUCAGUGUAUACCGUCGGUGCUUGCCGUUAUUCUGCCAUUGUAAAAGUGAACCGUGGGCUCUUGUGAGUGUCCACAUGCGUCAGUGUCUUUUUGGUCAGGCAUCCGUGUGGCACAUGGUAAGCCUGUCCUGGUUGCUCAGCUUGUCUGUCUUUGUCUGUGACAGGCGCCAGUGUCUGAGCACAUGCAAUGGCUCAGACAUAGCUUUUCUGCUGGCCGACACUUGUAGACGGCCGACACUAGCCUUAAUAAAAAAAUUUCGGUUGUUUUUGAUUUAGAAUAAAAGUAAUCUUCAAUAAAAAGCUCGUCUUAGUUCAGAUUGAUGAACUAAAACCUCCCUAAGCUAAUACCAAUCAGAACUAAAGAUAUGGCUAAAUAAAGAUAUGGCUUAAAGAUCUAGGAUUAAAGGCUGAGACCUUUAGUCCUGAAUAAUUAAUCUCGAUUUGGAAAACUGAAAUAUACAAGGUUUGCCAACCGAAACUCUCGUUUCUCGACCAAUGUCAUGACAUUUUCUGUGCUAGGCCGGGACGACUGUGCCUGACAAUGACAAUAACAUCGCAUGCAAUGCCCCAUCAAGCUAGCUCACAGAAACGCGCAGGCUACCUGUUUUAUUUCUGAUGAUGUGUUCAGUAGUGUUCUAACAUUUUUGUAUUAUAAAUGAUAGAUGCUUGCUGGUGCCUGACAAUGACAGUAACAUUAUUGCACGCUGAUCAAGCUGGCAGAGUGACUGAGUGGGCACAUGUAACUUGCUGCCCUCGAUGUGACCGGGAGCAGCCUCUCUAUGAAUUAUUGGUCCAUUAGCAACCGGAAUCUUGAGAAGAAAUACCAAGGUCAAUUGAGGACACACGGUAAUAACGAUCAACUGUUUGAAAAGAUGAACAAAUAGAAGCUCAGAUGGAUUGACAGCUACCCACGUAAAAGCUCAUCCAAUGUAUGGUUAGAUGUGCAUGAACAAAUACGUUUUGAACCGCACCUAAAAAUCUUUAUUUUUAGGGCAUCCUAACCCUACUAGAAAACAAGACAUCGAUCCUCAACAAAAAUUUCGGUACGAAUUGACCCGGAACUAAUACUGAUUCCGGCUAGUAUUAGUCUCGGAUCUAAAAUUUCAUAGUUCUAGAAGGCCUUUCAGCCCUUUAGUGCCAAACGGGACUAACACCUACCUUUAGUGCCGGUUUGUAAUACCACCUUUAGUGCCGGUUUGUAAUACCAACCCGGGACUAAUGCUUGCAACAUAAUCCUUAAGUAGAGACACUUUUAUAUAAAUACUUUACAAUUUGCGCGUGACUUGUGACUUGCGACGUGCGCGUGUGUGGGGGAGCCUCCUGGGAAUUUCUAAUAGUUUUUAGCGCAAAACCGUUUAAUCCCGAUUAGUAUUACCAACUGGAACUAAAGAUAUGACUUUAGUCCCGGGUGAAAUACUUGGGACUAAAGGCCACGAUCUUUAAUCCUGAAUGAUUAGUUUCGAUUGGAAAAAUCGAGAUAUAUGAGAUUUUCCAACCGGACUAUGCUCGUUUCUCUACACAUUUUCAUGCUAGGUCGGGACGCCGGACGACUGUGGCUGACAAUGACAAUAACAUCGCAUGCAAUGCCCCACUUCAUAGCUUGUCUUCUAGCCACGUCAUACCGCAGGAACCACGAGGCGACGACUCUGCUUUAUUCCUAUUUCUUUCAACAGUUAAACAUCCAUCGGUCUAGGGGCGUUUGGAUCCCCGGGCUAAAUUUUAACCCCUGUCACAUCGAAUAUUUAACACUAAUUAGGAGUAUUAAACAUAGGCUAAUUACAAAACCAAUUUCACAACCCCUAGGCUAAAUCACGAGACGAAUCUAUUAAACCUAAUUAGUCCACGAUUUGACAAUAUGGUGCUACAGUAACAUUCGCUAAUGAUGGAUUAAUUAGGCUUAAUAGAUUCGUCUCGCGAUUUAGCCUGGGGUUCUGCAAUUAGUUUUAUAAUUAGCUCAUAUUUAGUCCUCCUAAUUAGCAUCCGAAUAUCCGAUGUGACACGGACUAAAUUUUAGCUUCAGGAUCAAACACCUCCUAAGUACCUGGAGUUAAACAGUGGGCAUGGUAGGUGCUCAGCCAUCGCACGUGUCGAAGAACGUGCGUGGUCUUAGCUAGUCUCCUAGAGGCAAUAUAAUCAGUCACCGGAAACUUUUAUUGCACAGCUCAGCAAGCUCAUCUUGUUUGCCAACAAGUAGAGCAAGCGAGCACAGCGCGACGCACACAUCCAUUGCGAGCAUGGAGAGCCGAAGCCUCCCCAUGGCAGCAGCCACCUCCAUGUCUGUAGCUAUCGCCAUUGUCUUCCUGAUCUACACAGCCGCACCACUGGGAGACGCGGCAUCCGUCGAGCACACGUUCAUUGUAAGUAUGCAUGAUGCUGUUUCCUUCCCUUUGAUCGAGCUCUCUAGCGACAAUCACAUAUAUAACAACCCUUCAUGCGCCAUUAUCCACGCACUUAUGCUUGAUUUCCUUGAUCGUGUACACAUGUAGGUGAAUCAGACGAAGAUGACGCGCCUGUGCAAGGAGACACAGGUCACCGUGGUGAACGGGCAGCUCCCAGGGCCAACCAUUGAGAUCACAGAAGGAGACACGGUGACUGUUCAUGUCAUCAACAGGUCACCUUACAACAUGACAAUCCACUGGUAAGCUACGAUGGCAUACCAAUAAGUUCAUCCAUUUCAGAGGAUAAAGCUAUAUAUGGCACUGCUUAUAAGAAACGGCUAAGGUGGACCGUGCAUUUUGACGUCUAGAUUUUUUGUACGAUUGUCACCCGUUUUUCAAAAAUAUGGCUUCAAUUCUAGGAGUAUAUGUUAGACAAGAAAUCAAAAUAUUUGAUGAUAAUUACACGAUGAAAUUAUAAAAUAUAUGAAGUGCAUCAAGGAUAAAGCUGCGAAGGAUCACGUUUACUUCGUAGUAAGAUAUUUAAAAUUUAUGAGCACUUAUAAUUAUUCAGAUUGUAAAACGUUUUUUAAACAAAAUUGCAGCACUCCACACCUUUAUAGUUGACAACCUUUUGUGAUGUAUACGACAGAUAAAAUAGAGGAUAGUCUGGAGGAGUGAGCAUUCGGGUUACUCGACAUGCUCGGGUCGGGUAAUUUGAGGUUUCAAAAGUUCGGAUUGCUCAAAUCGCUACCCAAGAUGUACCAUGGGAGAACAGUACCUGAAGUUUCAGUACCCGAAAUGUCGGGUUCGGGUGUCAAGAAAAUUUGAGAGAGGAACAAGAACAAGAACCCGAUGAACAAGAACAAAUCCAAGAGAAAGGAAAAUUUGAGAAGAAAAAUUAGGAGAACAGGUAACGAAACUUAGCAGCGUGUCAAAAAAAUUUAUUGUCGGUCCUCGCUUUGCAUCCACAUCAGGUUCCAAAAAGGAAAAGCAAUAACCAAUAGCACACGCAUCUCGAUUCUCUCGAAUCCUCUAUAAGGUUCCAGUAUCUUCGAUUCCCUGGAGUAGGACGUACCAUUAGCAGGGAUGUCACCUGCUAGUGAACCAAGAUCAGGGAGAUGGGACCUCGACGGCGCCACGCUUUCCUCCACCAGCGCUGCGCCGGUCUCUUCCUGCCGCGCGCUCGCACACGCCGGCCGCCGGCACGGUCGUGCCAGGUUUGGAAUAUACUACUAGAAUAUGAGCAUUCGUAGUUGAUUUUUGUACCGGAUGGUAUUUCGUCCGGUAAUAACGUGUGAAAUUGGUACUGGAUACAAAUUUUCGAUCCUCGGAGAUAUUUUAGUACCAGGCAAUAACACUAACUGGUACUAAAUGUGGUGUUAUUGCCCGGUAGUCUAGACCAUUUAGUACUGGACAAUAACACCAGUACCCCGUGGAGUACCAUUUAGUACCGGUCAAUAACACCAACAGGUACUAAAUGUCUUGAUAUUAUUGACCGGUACUAAAAGCCUCUCCAUGAGUUACUUCAAAAGGAAAGUAUUUCUAACUCAAUCACAUGUGCUACGUAGAUGAGAUGGUAAGGAAGGUUCACGCGAGUCUUGAGAUCGUGGGUUCGAAUCCCACAGACCGUGCACGCGCAUAUUACGCGAUACCGGUCAGGCGCCCGGUACUAGAGGGGGUUACUGAUCAGUACUGUCGGUUCUCCAGUAGUGAUAAGACUCUGUAGGGCAACUGGAUAAUUGUAAGCACGGACGGUGCAGGUUCCAAGGGAAAUAAUGAAGGUGGAUCUUGCAGCAAGAUUUCUUGCUCUGAUAGAUUUUUAACAUUCCGCUCUAAAAUCUGCUUACAACCCAACUCCUCACGUGGAACGGAGGUGCUAUAUUUUGAAUGAUAAGGAUUAUAAGAUGAUCCUCCUCACCUCUCCAAACUUACAAUGUGGUAAACCCACCACAUUACAACCACAAUUAAACCACAUGAACCAACAACUACAGUACUAGAAGAUAUUGGGCUGGGGUAGAGUUUUUAUCUUUUCUGAUAACACAAAAGUAUUUGUGGUUUGUGAUGCAGGCACGGAGUGAAGCAGUUUCGGAACUGCUGGGCUGAUGGGGUGCCAAUGCUCACCCAAUGCCCUAUCCUGCCGAACAAAAAUUUCACCUACCAGUUCAAUGUCGUUGGGCAGGAAGGCACCCUGUGGUGGCAUGCUCACGUCCCCGGACUACGGGCAACUGUCCAUGGCGCAUUCAUUAUUCGGCCAAGGCAUGGAGCUGAGUCAUAUCCAUUUCCUCAGCCUCAUAAGGAGAUCCCAGUUAUUAUAGGUUUGUGAACCUUUCAGAUUUUUAUUGUUUAGGAUAUGAGAACCUUAACUUCGUGCAAAUUUAAUUGGUCCCCAUUUUGAGAAAAUAAAAUAUAUCAUGUCCUAUGGGAUUUAAAUUGUGCGCAAUUUUGCAAUGGUUUUGCAAGUAUCUAGUAGAUGUGAAAUGAUCCUGAUGAUUACAGGGGACUGGUGGGAGAAGGACCUUGCAGAGAUGGCCAGGAAUAUGACGAAGAGCAUCUUUCUGUCUUAUGCUAGUGCAUCCACAAUCAAUGGCUUGGUCGGAGAUCUCUUCAAUUGCUCAGGUAAGCAAUUAUACGAUUCUAAACAGCCAUUUAGCACAAUUAAACUCUAUUUAAUUACUGCACAGUAGCCAGCUGAUUAAAUUGUCAGUCUUAAUGGUCUUUAGUUUUAGCCCGUACAAAUGGCCGUUUAGCAUAAUUAAACAGCCAUUUUGGUGAAAACUGUAUACAAUUGUGUGUUUGGUGAAAACUAUAUUGGAUAUUUGUCCAUGUCGAAACCGAUAUAUCCUUUUGUUUCAUUAAACGAACUUCUUAAUUCAACUUUCAGGUGUUCCGAAAGAAGGCUAUGUUCUGGACGUGGAGCCUGGCAAGACCUACCUGCUACGAAUAAUCAAUGCGGGCCUCUUCUCUGAGUUCUAUCUGAAGAUUGCUGGGCACAAGUUCACGGUGGUUGCUGCCGACGCGAACUACGUCAGCCCCUUCACUACAGAUGUGAUCGCAAUCGCAGCUGGCGAGACAGUGGAUGCGCUGUUGCUGGCCGAUGCACCCCCUGGCCGGUACUACAUGGUCGCCCUACCCAAUCAGGCACCAUUGCCUGACACCCAGACUCCGGAGUACACGACAAGGGGGAUGGUGCGGUAUAAGGUCAGCCACAGCGCCGGAAAUGGCACAACUAUACUGAGGUCGAGCCGGGGUGCAGAAGAAGAACAAGGAGGAUAUUCGUCAGGUGAUGCGCCGAUGGUUCCUAAGAUGCCUGAUAUACAUGACACAAUUACGUCGUUCUAUUUCCACAGCAACCUGACCAGCCUGCGCCACCAUGGGCACUCUCUGGUCCAGCAGAGAGUCGACGAGCGCCUGUACGUCGUGCUUAGCCUCGGCACCAUCUGCAAGAAAGGCCAGUUCUGUAAGAGGGGUGACAGUGACGAGAACCUCCUAGUGGCCACGAUGAACAAUGCUUCCUUCCAGCACCCCACAGCGAUACCGACACUACUAGAAGCACACUACUACCACACCGGCCUCAUCAAUGGCACGACACAAGAACUUCCGAAGAGGCCACCAUUAUUGUUCAACUUCACCGAUGAAGCCUUAAUCCCGUUUGGACCCAAAGAGAUGCGGCUAGAGCCGACUUACAAGGCGACAUUGGUCCGGCGGUUCCGACACGGCGCCGUGGUGGAGAUAGUCUUUC